rnacentral:lncRNA from 1 species
UCAAGGCCCCUCUCCAUGUCAUGGAGUGGUUCACCUCGCAGAUCCCCUGUUAGCGACAUCCUGCUUUCAUCUUUCUUUCUUUCUUUCUUUCCCCUGUUUUCCUGUUCUCGAGUUGCCAUUGGAAGACUGUGGUGUGUGAAUGAGUGACGCUGCUGUAGAUUUCUUGCUAUUCAUCUCUCUUCUCUCGUUUAGCUUGUAAUAAAUCUGUGACACAAACAAAAGCUUCCCUCAGUAUCUGAGCUGAUCAAUCACCCGAGGAGAACACCAAGCGAAUAAUGGCUCGACACAUCCAAAAGCAAGAGAUCAGGCACAACUGGCAGCAACGAAGUGUGAUCCACAUCAUAAAGUAGCCAAAGAAUCUACUUUCUUUGAUGGAGUUGAUGCUUUUCUCCAAAAAGAAAUAAGUUGAUGUUUCAUCUUUCAUAGGUAGAGCCAACUGAUCGAACUCGAGUCCUUAGGAAUUGAUCACAGACAACUCCUCCUCGACUUCCUUCUGUGUUCUUCUUCCUUGUUGGAUGACACCUCUCUCUCCGGAAUGGGUCACAUGUGGGUGGGGCUCCUCAUCAUGAUGCCAUGGUUGAGGAAGAUGCCAGUUGCAGGAAAAGCAGCACCUUCCCACAUGCAGCUGGCCAAGAGCAAGCUGCUGUUCUUGGUGUCCCACCGGACUUAUCCUCCUCACAUCUCAAUGAUUCAGCAAAGCAAUCAUUCAGCCGCUUUAUACUGCGCGCCGCCUGGCAUCUCACUUACAUCUACCAUAUCGGACAUGGAUUUGUUUGAUAUAUUUCUCCAUCAUUGAAUCCAGAGACUGGCACUAAGAAAUAGAAAGCAUGGUUCAUUGAUCAGGUGUUUGUGGUCUUCCUCCCGCGAGCAGAGUGUUGGAGAUCCUGCAAAGAAGGAUGUAGAGUAUAGCUCAAUUUGAUUCUGCUUUGACCCUUACUGCAAACCACGUUAGUGCGACAAUGGACCUCACUUCGUAGCUUCUCCUGCAGCAGUUGAGAGAGAGAGAGAGAGAGAGAGAGAGAGAGAGAGAGAGAGAGAGAAGACACGAAGCUUAUUAUAAGAGGAAGUAAGCCGUAGCACAAUUUUGCUCACCAACUCCAGCGCAAAGAAUGAGGCUCUCAAUCUUCUUCUUCUUCCUUCUCCUUUUCCCUUGCUUCCACCUCUCCGGUUCUCAGAGCUACAACGCACUAUUUAGCUUCGGCGACUCGCUCUCCGACACCGGCAACGUCGUCGUCGCCGGACUGCCUUACGGCAUGAGCUUCUUCGGCCGGCCCACCGGCCGUUGCUCCAACGGACGCCUAGUCAUAGAUUUCAUCGGUACUACUGCUACUACUUGCACUCAAUCUAACAUACAGGCAAUGCGUAGUAACUAAGAACUCAAUUAUGAUCGACGCAGCCGAGGCACUUGGGCUGCCGCUGCUUCCACCGUCCACCGCGAAGGGCAAAAGCUUCCUUAAAGGCGCCAACUUUGCUUACACUGCCGCCACCACACUCGGCUUCCGCUUCUUCCACCGGCUAGGACUCAGCAGCGGUCUAUGGGUCAACGCCUCCCUGAGCACCCAAAUAAGGUCGUUCGAGCAGAUGAUGCCUUCUCUCUGCAACUCUUCUCAAGGUGUCAACCGAUUCAUCUCUCUCUCUCUCUCCCUACCAUCUUCAUCCUUCUUCUUCUUCUUCUUCUUCUUCUGCUUCUUCUUCUUCUUCUUCUUAUCGGAACAUGUGAGACGAUGGAUGCAUGCAGAAUGCAAGGAGUACUUGAGCAAAUCCCUCUUCGUGGUCGGAGAGUUUGGUGGGAACGACUAUAACACUCCCAUCUUUGCCGGCAGGAGCUUGAAACAAGUGUAUACUUUCGUGCCCAAAGUCAUCCACGCAAUCCAUUCCGGUGUUGAGGUACUCGAUCGCACAUCACAAACCUGUAUCUGCUGUUACCGCUCAUCGCCGUUGUUCAUGGCAACAAUGUGCAGAGGUUGAUCGGCCAUGGGGCGACUGAGAUCGUGGUGCCGGGAAUGCUACCGAUCGGGUGCUUCCCCAUGUUCUUAACCUUGUACAGUACAUCGAAUACAAACGAUUACACCGACAUCGGAUGCUUGAACAAGUUCAAUGACUUGACAUCCUACCACAACUCUUUGCUGCGCCGGCGUCUGCGCGGGCUGCAGCGGAGGUACUCAUGGACGAGGAUCAGAUACGCCGACUUCUUCGACCCCACGAUUCAGUUCAUUACCAGUCCGACACAGUACGGUGAGUUCUUCGUCUCCAUUGGCGACCGCCAUCACAGCAAGGUAAAGAUCUGCGAAAUGUUGCAGGAUUCAGUGAUGGCGGAGCUCUAAAGGCGUGCUGCGGGGCAGGUGGGAGAGGAGACUACAAUGUGAAUCUGGAGGCCAAGUGUGCCGAGCCAGGCUCGGAUGUGUGCUCAGAUCCAUCGAUGUACGUGAGCUGGGAUGGGAUUCACUUGACUGAAGCGGCUUAUCGCCUCAUAGCCAAUGGUUGGCUCAAAGGUCCUUAUGCAAAUCCACCAAUCCUGCAACAAAACUAGAGCUACUGUGGUGCAUGUUAUUGGCCACAGUUCCACCACCAAAUCCAAGUCAAUAGCUUAGCUUUGGAUCCAUGUGUUCUUUCGAUGUCUGUGUAUCAUCCAUUCAAUGGUUACUAAUAAGUGUGUUCUUUUGCAUUCUUAUAGCUUAAAUCCAAAUGGAUAAUAGUUAAGACUUGACAUUCUCGUCAAAAUCGAGUCAUAAAUUGAUGAGAUUGAACCGAUGAUUCAAUAUAUUUCAGUCCAAAAUAAUGUUGUUAGAUCAUCCGACUCGAUAAACCAACUAAUAAACAUGAUGUACUGUAUUAUAGCAUAAGACCUCACUAAUAACCAUCGAGAGCUGCAUUAGAGAACAGCACUGAGACUUGGUUUGAUCUGUCUCGGUCGCUAUUUAUGUAUGGCACACAAGCAAGGCAGUAGCAGGAAGCUGAUGCAUUUUCCUGAGUCAUGGCACCUGUAACAGAGGUGAUUGCUGAAGCAACAGGGAAUGAACCUUAUAUGCUUUGCCAGAAUGCAAAUAGGCAUACACAGAAACAAUGCAGAAACACGAUUUUGCUAAAGAACUAUCAACACAUUUCAUAAUGAAACUAUGUAUAAUGAGAAUUUACACAAGAAUGCAUCUAAAAAUAUUCACUCAUAUGGACAAAAUUUAGCAGUGCAGGUAGUUGCUAAUCAAAAUGGAUGUUUUUUUUUUUUUUUUUGGUGAAUAGAUAUGGCCACCAAGUUUCCUCUAGCGAUCAUUGACUACGGUAGACGACAAUCUUCUGGCACGACGUGGAAAGAAAUGACUGUUUAAUCUAUAGGAAUUCCCAUUCAGACUCCAAGUCACGAUUAGAACCCUUCUCAGAAUCUGAUGAUGAGCGGACUCCUCGUGCACGUUGCUUUUGGGCAUUGAGAUCACGGCAGGAGGUACCAGCCUUCUUGUAAUGGCUCAACAUUCGUAAUUUUGAAAUAAAUAAGGCAACGACUUUUUUCUGUGAAAGACAAAACAUCAGUUACUGAGUGCAACAACAAAAACUUCUCUAAAUACUAAAGUUCAGAUUUCCAAUAUUAGAAUACGGCAAGAAGGCUCGGUGCAAUUUAUUUGACCGACUGUCCACAAAGUCCCACCGUGUCCAUAAAGGAUCUGUUCUGAUGUGAAGGUGGUAAACGGUGUUUAGGUCACAUUCAAGGUAAUAAAUUUAACCAUAUGUUACAUUCAUCCUUGUGUCUCAUUCAGUCACAUAUUUGUCAGCACUUGGUAUAGAAACAUAGAUAUUUGAAGAAAAGAGAUCAACCAGGGCAACAGGCAGCCAAGUAAUCAGUAGCUGUAAGUUGGACAUGCAUGACAUUAGCUACAGGGAUUACACAGACCUACAAACAUCUUUGGAAGAAUAUCAACUGGGAAAUGCAAGACCUUACCUACAAUGGUUUUACAGCCCUGAGUAAUCCAAUACCACAAUCAAAAUGUGAGGCCAACAUAUGCUGGUCAUGACAUAAAACCAAGAAACAAAAACUGGGUUUCGCUGUUAGACUUUUCAAACAAGAAAAUGGAUUCGGUGAUUAACUAGUUCCAUGAUGUUUCAUGCAACAGUUUAAACAUAUAGCCAAGAGAAGGUAAAAAUAGAUUGUUGUCUAUGCAAGCAUCUAAUUACCUUGCAGGACAUCUUCCUCGGUUCAUGAUACGAGGCCAAAACAAGGUCAUAGUCUUCAUCAUCAUCCUCCCAGCUAUCAUGAAGAUCUACAUCCUGGAAGUCUUCAGAUUUCAGAUCAAGAACAUGCAUGUUGUUCCACAUGUCUUCCCUGUGGGAGCUCUCUGAAACCCCUGAGAAAAAGCACAAUAAAGUAAUGUGUAUGCCAAAUGGUUGGCAAAAGCAACAAUUUGAGUUUUGUUGCCAUGCAACUUCACCUCCAGAAAAGGGAACAACAUAACAAAGGACAUUUAAUUGUUCACACAGCAACAAAUUUGGGUACUCUAGCAUUUAAUAACAUUCAGAGAGAUUGAUGGCUUUCUCAAACCUUUAUUUUGGUUCACAGUCCUUCCAGUAUCAAUUUUCAUGAGACAAGACUACAGCCGAGAGUUGACAAGGCAACCACAGCCAGGACCUCACCAGAGACCACCAUGAUGGAGAGACACUCCACCUGGCCCUAAUAACUGUUCUGACCAGACAACAGUCAUUUGACCUUGUUUCUUUUUUCCUCUUUUCUUCUAUCUUCUUCUCUCAUUUUUCCCCCUUUUCACCCACAAUAAGUCCACCUCCAGACCAAGAUGUGCCAAGCAUCAGCAUCGCUCAAUAUGUCAAUAUGUUUCAUUCUAGUAGCCAGAUGGCACCCCAUGCACCACCCAAACUAAUAACCUUAAGCUAAACCAUUAGAACUUCUGCUAGAAAAUCAAUAAAAGCAACAAAAACAAACUUGGUUUCAGGAUAAGAAUUCAUGGUACACAGUUUUGCAAGUAGCAUCCUUAUAAGAAGGGCUAGGAAAACAAGAAAAGAAGAACUUUUAGUACAUACCUAUUUCUAUGUCUUGUUCAGAAACAAGUGACUUAAUAUCUUCGAUCUGUUGUUCACAUUCAUUUUCCUCCAUGUGAGUUGUAAAAUCCUGUAACAUAGAAGUGCUUUCUUUCACAUCUGUCAGAAGAGGACAAAGGAUAUGAUAAGCAAGGGAACAAAAAAGAGGAGAAAAAAGAAGAAAAAACCAUAGAAUCAAACAGCAAAGAUACCACAUGCUCCAGUUGGUGAAAUAUAGCUAGCAAGUUCCUCGAUUGAAUUAAUUUGAUCUGAUACAGAUUUAAGGGCCUCAUCAUCUGAUAGAGAAUCAUUUUGGCAGCCAGCAAGAGGUUCAGCAACAGGUAAAGCAUUCUCAGAACUUUCAUUUAGUGUAUCCGCAAAAGCAUUUGAUUCAGCUUCAUAAGUUUCUUGUGUGUCGUUAUUAGAGACACAAGCAUCAGGAUCAAGCCAAUCUCCCACAGCCUGAUCGAGUUUCUCAGCGAUAACUUUACCGGCCUGUCCCACCAAAAAAAAUAAUUGGCACACAGAAGAAGUCAGUUCGCUUGGAAAAUUCUGCACAUGCCCCUGAGGGUCGCCUAGAAUUUCACAAAAAGCCUUGUAUAGUUAUAAUAUCAUAAACACCCUUAUAAAACAAUAAAUUUUCAUGAAUUCUCUUCUGGCAAUAUGUUCAAAAUCCAAAUAGUAAUAAUCAAAAUCAAAAUUCUGAUCCUACACCUUACAGAAAUAGCCCUUCACUAUUUUGAUAGAGUAGUUUGACAAAAAAAAAUACAAUAGAUUAUGCAAAGCAAGGGCAACUUACUACAAACUGAGGCUGCUCUUUUACUAGAGCAACAAAGAUCAUGGUCCAUCCAAAAGAAAUAAUGUAUAAAAAAGAAGAAAAAAGUGAAAAGUGACAUCAGGGAUAGGUUCAUAAUUUUUUACUCAACCCAUAUUAAACCUUAAAAUCAAACCUCAUAUCGACCUUAGUUUAGCUAGUUUUUCUUUUACAAAAAGCUCAAUGGCGGUCAACUAUCCAUAACCCAACCCCAAAUAGUUUGGACACCAGACUUGUUGUUAUUGUUGUAAUGAACAAAUAAAUGACCCAAAAAUCUGUACAAGUUUAAAUAGCUUUUUCUCAUUUGUUACCGAAAGACUAUGCUCAAAACAAAUGACUGAAACUAAGACAGAUGACACAAACCUGGGUUUUUCUGUUGCUCCAGAUAUUUAUCAAACUUAAUAGAUUUAUCUCAGAAGGUACUGAAAAAAUGUACUCAAAAGUCAAAGAAACCACAAAAGUUGAAAUAAAUGGCACAAACCUGAACUAAACUAUUACUCGUGCACAUUUUUUCAAUCUCCUGAUACACAUUGCCCCAAGAUAGUCGAUAUGCGACAUCCAUGCUGAAAGUGAAUCUCCAACAAGAUAGAGGAUCAACAAAAUAUUUUUUCUGCCUUCUUUUCGUACGAAUUCUUGCGAUGAGUUUUUAUUUCGAUUUGGAAACUUUGCUCGUAGCUGUUCAAACAGAAUAACAAUUAAUUCUGGAUGUACUUCAGAAUAGAAAAGGAAUUAUUUAAGGUCACAAUAAGACCUUCAUGCAUUAAAACAAAAAAGAUUAAGAAUACUACUUUUGCACAUAUUUUCAAAAGCAAAAACAAAACGUUGGCUUAAACAUCUGCGCUACAUGAUGGUCACUACAUGGUCGACAACGUGAAAGAACAAACUGCAUAUGAACAACGAAACUUACAUUGUGCAAAAAAUUAGCUUAAGGGACAAAAAAAUAACCUAAAGUUCUUGAAGGCUACAAUUACCAUAUGAUCACAGAUUCCUUGCGCGUCAUCAAAAACUUACCUUACACUAAUUAUAACUAGUUAAAGACCGUGACCUCAAGUGCUCACGACAACACGUACAAUUUACAAGGAAUUACGUAUAAAAACCACGAUAACACAACAGCACGUAGAGAAAGACAACCAUUGAUUGCCAAAAACCCAGUUCUUAAGAUCAAUCUACAUAAGAUCAAUCGAUUUUGGAAUAACCUUAGUAGAAUUAGUAGGGAAGAGAACUUGAGACCUCUAAUCCAAGAAAAUAGGGCCUUUAGAGGAAGAACAUAGAGGAAUCAAUGCUUCGAUCUAAAAGAGAACCAAGAAACGACCGGGAAUCCAGCCGUCACGGCCUACCAGAGAGGGUUCAAGAAACAAACCCGGCAGCAAUCGACGGAUUCCAAGAGAGGAUCUUUUUAGAACUCUUGCGGCGGCGGAGGAGAUCAAUGAUUGCGUACUAUGUAUAACCGAGAGAGAGAGAGAGAGAGAGAUAGAGCCAAAACCACCAGGAAUUGUGGUGGGAGGGGGCUUCCUCCGCGGGGUAUUUAUAAUCGCUUUUUGGAUGGAGACCACAAGCAGAUUCCCAAGCAAACUCAAAUUUCUAUCUUAUUUUAUUUGUAUGUUUAUUUACUUAUUUUGGAAAAGAUUGAUAUGGGUUUAGGGUUUAAAGAGAAAAGAAACGAUUACUCUCAGAACCUACCCAACUUCGUACCCGGUAGACAGUGCGCGUGCGUGCGUGCGCCGAUCUUAAGCAGCUUUGAUUUCGGACCACAGAAAACGUUGGGUCGGAUCUGAACUGGAACGGAGUCUUGGCCCAAUCGGCCCCAUAUCGGUUCGCUUCCGUUCGCCUUGUGAACUCUUCGUCCAUCUAUACUUUACUAUCAAUAAACUGAGUUGAUCAAUAAAGCCUGUUAUGGAUGCGAAUUAAUUAUUGGAAAUUUUUGUCCAUUCCGUAUAUGUAGAUUAAUUUAAUCGUUUGAAACCAUUCCUAGUGAGCUGGUCAAUUAAUUUAUAUGUUUCCAUGUAUAUAUUCAAAAGAAAAUUUUGUAUCAGGUUGAGAAUACUGAGUACAAUAUUCUGCAGCGUCUAUAGCGGAUGAUCUCCUCGUUAAUGAUAGAUUUGGAGUUGUUAGAGCCUCUCUGACAACACAUUCCAACCUUCACAUAUUCUACACAUCAUUUCCUUUAGAAUUACAAACUUUGCUUCCCAUUAUAUGUACUUGGCCUCAACUUAUCCACCAUCAUCAUCAUCUCUCUCUCUCUCUCUCUCUCUCUCUCUCUCUGCAUGGGGAACUUCUUGCCUUUGCCUUGCUUGUUUCAUGAAGCCAAGAUGUCACAGAAGCCCUCGAACAAAUCCAAGCGAGGGCUCAAUUUGCUCCUCGAUGUCCCUCUAAACUGGUUGCGGAAAACGAAGCAACAAACUUGCAGCGGAAGCAGGGACUCAACGUAUCUUCCAGCAUCUAAGCACACGAAGGAGAGAGAGAAGCAGGGUGUCACCAGAGUGAAGGUGGUUCUCACCAAGGAGGAGGCAGCUCAGCUGCUAGCCAUCUGCGCCCAAGGCGAAGAGAGGACGGUUGCCGAGGCCGUAAGAAGGCUUAAAAGGUCACAGACUUCCCGGCAUGGAUGGAGCUGUGGUAGAUGGAGACCAGCCCUUGAAGUCAUCCCUGAGGAGUAAACAAAGGUAAGAACAUAUCCUCUCUUGCUCAUGUAGGAAACCUUGGUAUUCACACAACAAUGUCGAGGAAAUGGGAUGAGAGGACUUCUUCUUCUUCUUCUUCUUCUCGCUAUGAUUUCUUUCUGUUGAUGUAGUUUUACUCACUGAACCAUUUGGUAGAUUUUAUGUACUCUCUUUCUUCUUCCAAACCUAAAUGCUAAGCGUUCUUCAGAGUUCGAGUACAUGCUGAGUUGAGCAACUACUCCCACUGUAACAAGGUAAGGUAUCCCCUCACCUUUCCAUGUGUGGUUGAAGCCCAAAAAUGACUUCUGCUAAAAGGAGGCAUGGAGAGGAGCUCAACAAAUCUUGCGAGUAUGCUUUGCUUCUUCUGGCUCUCCAAGAUAGGGCCUCAUGGGGCUAAUGCAGCUGGCAGAUAUCAGCAACAUCUGCUUUUAAGGGAUAAAAGAAGUUAUCAAUCCACAAAACUUUUGCAUGAAAUCAGUAAUUUUUUUGUAGCAAGUUAUUGUUCAGUACUACUUUUCUGCUUUGGUAGUGCUUAAAGAAACAGGUUUGUAUGUAUCACAACCACUGACACAUAUAUAAACUCACUUCAAUACAACCACACCUCAUCACACCCAUGAGCUCUCACCUCUUCCUGUUCUUCCACUGCCAUAAAACGCUUUCAUUCUAUUAUGAAGAUGAGGUUUUAUUGUUUUUGAUAGGACAUGAUGUGUUUUAGGAGUCCUAUAUUGACCAAGUUGGGGUAUAUUCAUUAAUUCAUACGACCUUACAUUCCUCUCAGGCUAUUUAAUCUAUAAACUGGGGGUAUUAAGAACAGCCGAACAGGAAAAGCCAUGACAAGCAUAGGCCUUGAUGAGGCUUGGAUUUAAUUUAAAUGUGCUAGUAUUUAGAGUAUUUAUGAAUUAGGUUUUUGACCAAAAAAAAAAACUAGGUUUGAUCUACUCAUUAGGGUUGCAAGUGAGUCAAAACCUAUGAGCUAAGUCUCCAUAUCAUAUGUAUAGGAAAAGACAUUCAAGCUUGUUCUAUUUAAUUCAGAUCCUUAUCAUGCAUCCAUGACCUGGUUCAGAUUCCUUAUAAAGAGGUCAGAUGGUGAGAACAAGAAGAAUCCGUGAAGAGCAGUAACAAUCAAUUCUUGAUUUAAAGGAAAAACUAUAGAUUACAAAAAGAAUAAUUAUCAACAUCUUAGGUAAAUCCAAAACAAUUCAUGUCGUCACCCACGUUGAGCAAGUGGAACCACCGCAAUUGGUGGCUUUGGAAAUAAACAGUAGAAGACUGCACCUAUGCAAGUCCAAAUAACACUGAGACCAACUAUGCCGACAGGGCAGGAGGAGAUGUGGAACAACUCGUUCCACGCAGAAGGAUACUAAUGAAUUAACCAUAGAAUUAAGUAUUAAAAAUCCUACCUGCUCUCACUAUCUUCAUUGUUUAUUAGCCUACAAUAUCAUUCCAUGCUACAGCUUUUGACUCAUGUCUUCUUCUGAAGUGUUAAUGAUUCCUCGUUUUAAAUUUUAGCCAGAGGUUUUGUCUUCUCUUCCUUCAACAUCAAAGUCAAAAACGAGUUUUGUUUUCUCUAACGUGUUACUAUCCCAAGUCUGCUUGAUAGUUAUACUAACAUGAUGAAAUAGAAUUUACUUAAAACAAAAGCAGGAGGCCAUCAAAUACCUUAUGAACAAGUUUGAUUCUUAUAUAGUUGUGUAUAAAACAGCUAAUAAAAGAGUAGACAACAUUGAUUCCUUCAGCAGAUAUGUACAGGGUUCUCAAUUAAUGGUCAGGUGGAGCCAGGAUGAGAUGGCCUAGAUAUUUAGUGCUCCAUACAAUAACAAUAUGCACAUUAUUCUCUAUUAUUAAUAUAACUAGAUAUUCAGUUAAAUAUGAUAAAAACCGGAUACAAUGAUGCAUGAGGGUGCUUCAGCAACAUGAUGAAGCAGUGUUAAUAAUCUAGUCGAAAGAUCAAAGCAGUCAAAAGUCCGAAUAGUUGACAAAUAUCAAGCUCGAUCCACUAUAUACUGAUACUCUUCAAAAAAAAAAAAGAAUCCAAGGAUAAGUUCUAAUCUCUCUUGCAUGAUGUGCUAACUUGUCCAGAUAUGAUAUGGAAGUACUAGAACAAUUUUAGUGAUAAAAUUGUUUCUUGUUUUCAGGAAAACAUGUCUUGCAAUAAAAACCAAACAGUGAUAUGUAGAAUUAAUAAAGGUUAGAAAUGGCAAUGGGAUUGGAGUCCUAAAUGACAUGCUGCAUCAAGUACUAGUAACAAUGAAAAAGAGCAUAAUUCUAGUUCAAGUUGACAGCAGCAAAGAGAUAACGGCACCAACCUCAACCGUCGUCGUUAUUUCUCAGCUUUAUCCUUAAGUAAUGUAGUUGAAUUUUUUUCUCUAUCUUUUGAUAUCAGCAUUUUAUGUAGUUGUUUCUGCAACAACUGUCUCAAAUGGGAACUUGAAGCUAAAUUCUUAUCCAGCUUCUCUUUUUCAGCUAAAAGUUCAGACUUUCUCGCCUCUGCGACAGCAAUCUUAGCAGUAUUGAGAUAUCCAUCAUUUCCUUGAAGGCGUUUCAGAGAUGAUUUGAGCUGCAAUAGCAUACAUUAUGUAGAAAAAAUCUACGUUACUGAUAGGAUGUAUGACAUGUGAAACAAAUACAAAACUUUAGACGUAAUGCUCCUUCGUUUGUUGUUCUAGUAAAUAAAUUAAAAAUAUAUUUAGUUCUAGUUACCUACCAUGAUACCAAGAAAGAGAAAACAUCCCAAUUGUUUGGUUUGACUGCAUGGCUUUGUCCUGCCGUUAAGCUUUGAAGAGGGUCAUCAAACCAAUAAGUGUUUUAACUUUGUUUACCUGGAAUAAACAUUACUUGAAAUUGCCUUGUUUAAUUGCAAAUUUGAUCAUGAAAAUAUUUGGACUACAUUUUCUUCAAGCAGGCAUCUUUCUCAAAGAAAUCUAUGCAUUGGACUUCCUAAGUACACAGAAUGUGGCACAAAAUGUGGACAGAUUUAACAAAAGUUCUGAAAGGAUGAGAUGCAAUGGUGCACAUCAUAAAUUGGCAUGAAAUUUGACUACCUGGAUAUAUUUGCACAAGAUUUUAAAUGUUUUGCUUCUGAUAUCAGCUUGUUGCGGCUACCAUGCUUAUAUUUUUUUAUCGCUCAAUUCAAUGAAGAUUAUCAACUUUAUGGUCUCAAUUUCUUUUAAUAGGCCAUCUUGAUGCUAAAAGAAUCAAGGAACCCUAGAUUGGCAUCCCAAACUGACGAAUGACAAAAGAAAUAACAUGCAUAAGGAGGUUUGAUCAAUGUGAAAUGGACUGUUUAUUAUCCGGGAUGGAGUACUAUCAUCUUAGUUUUCUAUUUGGGAGGGGAAAGAAGCUGUCAUAGGCCGAAGAAUGGCAUAUGCUUUCUUCAUUUAAGCACCAUUCACUGAUAGUGCAAUCGGAUUCCUAAGCAAUUAACUCUACAUGUACAAAAUCUGAGAAAUGGAAUGCUGUGAGAAGAGAAACAUCCAACCAAAAUUCUAGGAUUAGAAACAGAGGAGCAAAAGAACCUUACUUCCGAGACCCAAUCCCGCAGCUUCCGCACCUCUUCGCGAGUAUCCGAAACGAACCUCCUCUGCCGCUCCUUGAACUCCUCCAUCUCCGCCCUGUUCGCAGCAUAAAACCCGUCCCUCUCCUUCUCCGUCUCUUCCAGCUCCUCAAUCGCGCUCUUCAAGUCCCUACUCCCCGAAACCACCUCUCCAUCGAAACGUACAAUUCGUACAAGAAUCAAUCAAUAAACAAGGGGUAAAGAUCAGAGCAUGCCUGUACUCGCGGGCGGCGCCUUGGUACCGGGCGUCGACGGCAUCGAUCUGGGUCCUGUUGGUGAGGAUCCGGUGGGCGAUUUCCGCGUUCCUCCGCUCCAAGAGAAGGCAUCGCCGCUCCGCCCGCCGCAGCUCCUCGAUCUUCUCGGACAGCAGAUGGGACUUGGCGAUCUGGAUCUCCUUCUCGGCCUGGAGCCAUCACGAUCAGAGCUAGGGUUAGGGUUGGUGGGAAAGGACGGAGAGGAUGGAGAGUGGAGGAAAGAGGGGAACCCGAAGAAGGGCAAGCCUUUGGGUUCGGGUGGCUUCCAUUUGCCGAAGCCUCUCUUGAAAGGUGGACGGGGCCGCCAUUACCGCCGACCGCCAGCGAGCGAGAGACGGGGAGAGAAUUCGAAGUUUGGCGGGAAGACGUGGUGAUCAAUCCACUCCCAAACCGACAUAUUAUUAUUAUUAUUAUUAUUAUUAUUAUUAUUAUUAUUAUUAUUAUUAUGAAGUAUGAAAAAAAUUAUUUUUCGUUUAAUUUUAACAAUUUAAUUUCUUCUAUUAUAAUAGAUAAUAAUUUAAUUUUUUUCAUCUUCAUCUCCAUCAAUUUGGAGUCGAAAUUAGAAUCGAAACCACCACCACCCAUAAUCUUAAUACCACCCACUUAUAUAUAUAUAUAUAUAUAUAUAUAUAUAUAUAUAUAUAUAUAUAUAUAUAUAUAUAUAUAUAUAUAUAUAUAUAUAUAUAUAUAUAUAUAUAUAUAUAUAUAUANNNNNNNNNNNNNNNNNNNNAUGUAAUUUUCAAGUUUAAUUAUUUAUAUUAAAACCAAUUUUAAGGGGAUAAAUACUAAAAUCAAUAAUUAUUUACAUAAAUUUUCCAAAUCACAAUUGCUAGUCUAUUUAAAGAAAUAUACGCAUCAAUAAAUCAUCAUAAGAAGGGUGGGUUGGUUCGACCUGUAGGCGGAGUUGCCGUCAGCCCCUUCUCGUCCCCGCUUCAUUUCCUCAUGAUGGAUUCCGACUUCCGCUACCGGCCGCCCGUCAUGCACCGAUCCGACGCCGCCGCCCAGCCAGACCGCGAGGUUUCUAACCUCCAUCCUUCCUCGCCUGCUCCUCCUCUCUCAUCCUCCGGUAAAUGUCCUUUUUCUGCCGCUCUAAAAACCCUAGUAGCAUGAUUCGAUUGAUGAUGAACUUUUGCUGAUGGUCGGACAUUAUUGUUGUGAUAUUCACGCUUAAUUGGUUGAUUCUUCUUCGUUGUUGUGGCUGAUUUCGUGUCGGAUCGAUUUCACUAAGAGAAUAGUGCUUAUAAUUGAUUUCUUUAUAGAAAUCGUUUCCCCGAUAUGAGACGUAACUCUGAUUUCAAUCAUCCUCUUUGAAGGACUGUGAGGAAAGACGAAAGUUGUAAAUUGGUAUUGCCACUGAUCGAUCUGACUGCAAUUGCAAUGAUAGGCCACCUGUCUGCGCGCACACGUGCGUGUGCAUGCGUGCAUGAGCGCGAGUUUAUGUGUGCGCAUGUGUGCAUGCAUAUUAUUCAAACAGACAGGGCAUUCAUAAGUUUGGAGAAAAAAAAUUAAAAAGGAAAACUCAAAAGUUGUUUAAUUAGUCAUUUCGGUUGUAUCAAAAGUUCCCAAAUUUUUAUAACUGUAAAAUUAACGUAGUGUUAGAAUUGUAAAAUCUUGAGUUGAUUUAGAUUUCAAUUAUAGAUUGUAAGUUUAGAAUCAUUUUAAGUGAUGAGUGGUGUAUAUAUGUAUAUAUAUAUGUAUGUAUAUAUGUAUAUAUGUAUGUAUAUAUAUUUAGAUUUCUAUUAUAUAUAUAUAUAUACAUAUAUAUAUGUAUACAUAUAUAUAAUCUUGAGUUGAUUUAGAUUUAUAUUAUAUAUAUAUAUAUAUAUAUAUAUAUAUAUAUAUAUAGAGAGAGAGAGAGAGAGAGAGAGAGAGAGAGGUUACUCAUGGGUGCGUAAGAGAGGGGUUAAGAUUUGAUUCACUAGACUAUUUCAUUAAGAGUUCUAGUUUUUUUAUUAAAAAAAUGUUUACUUAGGUUGUGAAUUCCAAGGAUCAUAUCUUCUUGAUGAGAUCCAAUCUGGUAGCUCACUAAUUGGGUUGAUGGAAUUCAAUUAUGUCCUUAAUCGGCUCCGUUGGACACCAUGUCAAAAGGUUUCGCACUAAUUAAGUGCGCCUGAAACCUACAUGAAAGGAGGUCAACGGAGUGGCUGAAGAACAAGACAGAUUUCAUUCAUCCAACACAGCAGGGUGACCAAAUGUGCUACUUUUGCUUCUUAUUUAGAAUUAAAAAUUUACAUCCAUUGUCAGAUAAUCGUCAUCAUCUCACUGCAAGAUAUGCAUAGCAACUAUCAGAAAAAGAAAUGUGUUUAGAAUGUAUAUCCAUCAUCAUAAAAUGAUAUUCCUUUGUUCCACUUAUUCUAUUAUUUCCUUUUUGUUUCUGGAUGCUAAUAGCAUGUGCUUUCUUAUAAUUGGCUGUCACAGUGUUUCUACUGAUCCAAAAUCUUAUACACAUUGAAGCUACUGUUACCAAUUAGAUUAUCCAUAUCUCUAACUUCAAUUUUUUGCACACCUGGAAUUGUUUCUGCCAUCAUUUCUGUUCUCUUGGAACAUUAAAGAUCAUUGACAACAGAUUUUACAUCAUUAAGAGUUUUUAAUCUUUUGGCUUCAGGACUUGGUAGCAAAGCCAGAAUAUCAGCACCAGUGAGUAGUUUAAGUGUUUUGUGUAUGCGUGUGCAUUUUCUUUUCGGGAGGGUUUUCUGCAUCAUUAAUUUUGCUUAUACUGAGGUCGCUUUGUCAAAAUGAAUAAAAUAUUUGCCAACCUGCACAAAUGUUGAGAUCAAUUGUAGUUUUUUCUUUUUAGAAAACUGAGCUUUUUUUAAGUAACUGGGACUGUAUCAGUCCCCAAACAGAAUUCUCCUCCGAGGCUCGAUGAGAACAAAAAUGCCCUGCCCGAAUGGCAAGGUUGUGGGCUGCAAAAUUCCCCUCCCCGUGUACAUGUUCAAAGCACAAAACAUUUAAACUCUUAGCCAUCUGAAGUAUAUUAUUACAAAUAUUUUUCAAAUGCUAUGGAAGGGGCUUAGAUAUGCUUUUGCCACAAAUCAUCACAGCUCCUAGACAAUCAGAUUUUAUGGUGAUAUUAAUCAAGCUUAUCUGGGAAGCUUUCUUAAGUCCAUCCCAUAUAGCCCAGCAUUAUGCCUGAAGACGUCUUGAAGCCUGGUGCACGUUGCUGCCCUCUAGAAUGAUAGUGACCUGUGAAUCAGCAAUGCAAAAAUCAGUACCUGCAUAUACAUCAGGAUCAGUGAACAGAAAAUAGUAAGGAAGAGAGAUCCCUGUUCGGCUCAAGCAGUGAGGGGGUUGAGGAAGAUCAAUUGUAGUCGAAUCUGUAUUUUUUGAACAGCAGAGAAAUCAAACAAGUAAAUGAAAUUAUUUGAUUAAAAGUAAUUAUGUAACCAUAUUAGUUUAGUAAAUGGGCCUAUUUGAUUUCUCAGUUAUCAUGUUGUAAUUACGUUAUCAAGCCACCAAAUUUAGUUUUGUAUUCAAGCAACACACAUCGGAAGUGGGCAAAAAUUAAAAUUGACUGAUGGGUCUACUAUUGUCAACCUAAGCAUUUUGAGUCAGUGGUUCAGACUCAAUGAAGUUAAUAUAUCAAUUAUCCCAUCGGGCCGACUAAUGACAAUUGAUUUCAAAACCGACCUAGUAUUAUAAGUUAAAGUUCUUUCAUAUAAAUUUCCUGUGUUGUUUUUCAUUGAUUAAAAAUUUCACAUCAUUGCAUUUUUCUACUAGUAUUUGUAUCUCUGAUUAACAACCGACUUUACGGGCUCAAUUAGCACCACAAAUGCCAGAGGUUCCUCGAAGCAAGUUCCAAUUUGAUGUUGGGUUUGAGAGACAAAUACUAGCUGUGAGGUUGAGAAAGAGAGUCAGAAUUAGUGCAGAAUGACAUUGGAAAACCAGCUCUCAAAGUCUGCAUCUGCAUCAUCUUCCUCCUCUUCAUUGGUACAAUAAGAACUUUGUUUGAUGCUAAAUAUUAUUUAGCUAUGGAUCUAAGGAAUAUCAUUAAAAUUGGUUAUAAAAUAUUAAAAUGAUCUUUAAUGGUAUCGGAUUAUAAAAGUAUUUUUUUUAAUAUGAUCUCAUCAUGUUGCCGAUAUUUGCUUACACCUCCAUGUUUAUUUAUGAAUUUUUAUUCUGAACAUUGCCUUUUGUGGAUAUCAUCAUAAGAACCUGAUAAGUGGUGCAAUGGAUGUGUUGUGAUAUACCUUGACCACUAGCAUAUUGAUUAUUAUCCCCAGAACAUUGGUUUCAUUAUGAUUGCCUUAUUUAACUCUUUUUCUGUGAUGAAGGUUAAAAAUAUUGUACCCAAACCUUAAUGUGGUUGGAUCCCUUGUUGAACUGUUUUACGGUUUGUACCCAUCCAUUAAUUGCUAUUAUUUUAGUCAACUUCUUAACCCACAUUAUAUUUAACAAAGAGAUCGAAUUACUCAUUUAUUUGUGUAAUUUUUUGAAGGCAUCAGCAGGAGAUCCAGUAUAGAUAGCCAUGUUGCCUCAGGGCUUGGACCUGAAGCUGUAUCACUUGCUGUAUUGAAUUAUGGAGACAAUCCAGUGAAGGUAUGUCAAUACAGUCUCCUUUACAAUGUCUCUUCUCCAAAGUUAAACAGGAAAUUGAGGAAGAUUUUGUUUACAUGGGCAAACAAAUUUCUCACAUCGAAAUUCCAUCAUAAUCUCCCAUGCCCUAUUUAUUGUUCUUCAUUGUGUCUGUGUUUCUUGUCCAUGCUGCAUUUCUCUCAAAUCUGUUCUAGUGGUUGAGUACAUAAUCAUCAGAGUGGUACAUUGUUCAAUUAAACCUAAACGUAGGAACUAAAUACAGCAGAUGGGUAGCUAGAGCUGACAUCGGUAAGGUGUUUUACAUGUUAUGUUCAGGAUGCAUAUAUAAACUGAAAUCAUAUUCUUCUUUAUCCUUUUCAGGCGAGAGAUUUUGUAAAAGGAUAUAGUAUUCGCCAUGAGAUGGGAUUCUCCUCAAAAAAAAAUUGUGGCAGAGGCACUGGCUAUGUACACUAAUGAUACUGACAAGGCUGUGGCACACUUUCUUAACGCCUCUCAGUGAUACACGAUACAGUCGAGAUCAUAAUUCUCGUACUCAGUAUCAUGCAGAAAGCACAAAUUUGCACUUGCAGUAUAUUAUGACCAUGUAUCUUAAAGUUCUGGUCGACGUUCUGUUGUUCAAUUGUGGUGUUGGUGUUGAGCUUUUAGGCUUUCCGACUUGUGGAUUGUUUCCGAUAACGUCGGUAUAUUUGAUUAUGAAUUCAAUCUAGCUAGGUUGGCAGUGUGAUUGAUUCGGCAACCAGUGACAGAUAUAGAUUUGAUCUCUUCGCCUAUGCCACCGUUGGAUAUGUUUGUCCAACAUGGAGAGGUAGACAUAGCCGAUUUGCCUCAGGUGAUUUAAUGCACUAACACAGUCUUUUUGUUUGUUUUUCUGUUGAUGUGAGAUUUCUUGUUGAUGUGGAAGCAUGACAACUAAGAGACAUGUAUAGCAGCUUCAGAGCUCCAAAGGUGCUGCUAUUAGAUUUAUUGGAUGAGAAGCUCUUCUGUUGCAUCACCUGCCCCAAAAGUGCUUUUGUCAGACCACCUGUUGAAGGAUUCGGAUCUCCAGACAAGGAACGUGCAUGGUGAAGAUAAAUCUUUCAGGUACAUAAGCCAAUUGUGAUGAUUAAGAACACAAUUUUUCAUUUAGAACCGAACUCUCAAAAUCAUUAUAUUCAGUAAGGAAAUAAAGAAACUUUUGUACACUGUGGAUCUUAUUCUAUUGGUAAACUGACCUCAGGGUUCUCUAUUUUGCAGGGACAUGUAUGUAAUUUGCCAAAAGGAAUAAAAUCUACCAACUUCGAGGAAGCUACGAGCAUCGAGAUCGGACUCAGAACAGCCUAUCUCAAAGCCCAAUCAUAAAUCAGAGUGCAACAGUCAUAUAGGCAUUCGAUACAUGAUCAUAUUAAAUAGUCUUAUUCAUGGGGAAGCCACGAUGAGGUUGACAAGGUUGGCUUGGACGUGGAGUGCGCAACAUGGUCAGUUCCCCCCUUCUCUCUCCCUCUCUUUCUUUGGCUUUUUGCGUUGAAAUGACUAUUGGCAGAGGCUUCACCGAGAAUCUGAUAUGAUCCAAAAGCGUAGAGAUCAAAGCAGGAAAAGAACUGCUGCUUUUCUCAACGAGUCUCCCCCGCCAUUGAUGGUCUGAUGUGAUCUUAAGAAGAACACCUCGUCCUUUCCCUGUGAAGGCUAGUGCAUAGCUGCGCCCUCAACCGUGUAAGUUAUUGUCCCCUUCGUUCUUCAUCUUGCACGCAACCUUUGGCUAAACCGGACGACGAUUGACGGGUGAUCGGACCGGCUGAGGGUUUGGCCGUGGCCGGAGUGCGAAGGGGUACGUGGAAAUACGAGCUCAGACUUGGUUUUCCGAGCUGUGUGACCUUUGGACGCAACAGUGAGAAGGCUGUUGAUGCGUGUCAGGUCUGUUUCCUGCCGGAUUCUAACUAGUGUAUCACCACGAGAGAGAGAGAGAGAGAGAGAGAGAGAGAUAUAUAUAUAUAUAUAUAUAUAUAUAUAUAUAUAUAUAUAUAUAUAUAUAUAUAUAUAUAUGUAGGUGAUUGUUCGAAAAAAUAUUUUUCUUUUUGAGUUUUUUCAGAUGAUAACUUUUUAAAAAUUUUUAAACCACCAUCUCUAAUUUUAACAAAUUUAAAAAUACCCCCACAAUUAUUCAUAUUGUUUUUCCAUACAAAUUCAAAGUCUUUUUUCGUCAACUUAGAUUAUUUUUAUCCAUAAAUAUUGUCUAUAUUGUGUUUUUUUUCAAAAAUACUGGGACAUUAAAAAUACUAUAUGAUGUUUUUAAAAUAAAAUAGUAUACAGGAUUUUAUGUAUAAAAAUCAAUCCACAAAACACUAAACAAUUGUUGUAAAAAAUUUUGGAUUUAAGCGGAAGAUGUGAUACAUUUUUAACGAAUAUUUUUGAAAUAUUAGAAAUAAGGGGUGAUGGUUUUUUUUUUUUUCUUUAGUACCAUUCAGAAAAAAUCCAAAAGAGAAUAUAUAUAUAUAUAUAUAUAUAUAUAUAUAUAUAUUCUGAUCUACUGAACAUGUACGGAACAUGAUGGUUAAGAUACAAACAAAAUUCGAAAUCACCCUAAUUUGAUACAUGAUUCAGGCCCAAAAAUAUCAUUAAAGUUCAUAUAAAGUUUAGUAUAAUAAGUAGGAGGUCUAGCCAAUGAUUAUUCUAUAACAUGAUUAUUCUUUGGCUUUAUAGCCUCUGAAAGCUAAUAGAAAGAUCACUCAUGAUGGAUUAUCGAGGGGAAUGAAUAGUAGCAUUUAAGAUUGGAUGAUAAGAUGAUGGGUGAACUAUUUAUUUAGGUCACAGCAAGAUUAGGCUGAUACAGCGUCAAAAGUGUCGCCAUGUCAUUGAUAGGAAAUAUUCCCCGUGCCACCCACCCCAUUGCAUUGCCACUUGGCAUCGGUGUUGUUGGAUGCAUCAGUGGUUUUAGUAGGGGGUGGGAUCCGACACCCCAGCGUGGAAGAGAACAUAGACAACUAUUAAACCUGUGACGACGAGCACAGGAGGAACCGAUGCUCCCAGCCAACAACUGUGGCAGACAGGUGGAAUCAAAGUGAGCUGCAAACUCGGAAGACGACUGAUCCUCUCAUGCUCGUCCACGUUAAUCUUUUUCAGUAAAAUCCAGUAGCAUCACCUGAACCAACGUGGAACAGUUUCGCCACUUGUCUCGAUUUGUCUCUUCGUCGAUCCUUUCUCCGAUCGACGGUGCCGGCAAUGAUAGAAAUGGAUUUCACCGGUCUGCCUGCCCUUCAUACUCAUUCAAUUAUUUUCUAUUAAAUAAUAUUUAUUAUAUGUGGAUACAACAAAACCAUAUAGUCACUAUGGAAUGCCCAUAUCUAAAUAAAUUGAAUUAUAUUCAUUAUUAUUUGUAAAGCAAGGAAUAAUAAAUGGCUAAGAAAAAAGAAGAAAACAUUAAGGACUAAUGAUGAUUUGAGAUUUUGAAUCCAAAGUUGUAGCAUUCUCUCCCUCUCGGAAUUGCAGUGAGAAUUUAUAGGCCAUCAAAGAAAUGUAAGCAUCGUGUAUUUUAUGGUGCUAUUUUAUUGCCCGAUGUGAUGUCAACCAAAUUCUUAGCUAUUUAAAGAGCUCCGCCCAUGUCUUGCGACUCGACACAUCGCCACGGUGGAGCAAUGUGAGCUGCUGGGGAAAAGGUCUCUUGUCUCGUGUCCCUGUCUCCACCGUUCUCCUCCCCCCUUCCCACCCCUUUACUGGUCUUGCAACUUGCAGCUUUCUUCACCGACAGUGGUUGUGGCCCUGCACUUCCAUCCUCUUUAGGUUCCCAUCGCUUCUUCUCUUGUGAAGUUGGUUCCCUCCCUGGAUUCUGUGGUUGCCAUGGGAUCUGCAAAGAGAGCUUCCUUCAGUCCACUCUUGGGUGGCCAUGGGAUGUGAUUAGCUGCCGACUCAUUCAUCCACAUGCCCGGUAAAAGGGACGAUGGCUUUGCCGGGCACAUGAGUGAAUGAUGCGGGAGGUGAGUCGGAUCCCAUGCUGCCUUUGCUUGGACUGAAGGGAGCUCCCUUCUCUACUACCCCCCAUUCCCCCUCCCCUUGCAGCAACGAAACUGGUUAUCCAUCGGUUGACUUGCUGUGUUUGAUGUUACUUGAUCUCUUUUAGGAGAAGGUUUGGUGUAAGUCGAUGAUCUAUUUAUCGGUGGAUCUUUUGAUAGACAGCCACACCUUUUGUAGAUGGUAUUUUCACUACUUAUUAGGAUGUUCACAAUCCAAACGAUGAAAGUUUUAGGAAGCAUUUUGUAGUUUAGGGUUCCAAGUAUUUUCUGAAACCAAACAGUUGGCUUGCCAUAGACCUAAAAGGACUUUGGUUUCCUUCACAAACAAUGACUAUUCCAGCUCUGGGAAUACAAGUAGCGAGUGAUGAGUUCAUCCAAUUGUUCCAGUAUAGAUCAGGGAUUCAUAUUUCUAUUGUUGAAAUUGUUUUUGACAUCAAUAUGGAGCUCGAUGUGGUCCUUGUGUUCUGUGGCAACCAUCGACUAUAUUGUGAUUCACAUACAGUCCUUUUUCAUGCAGGCUAUCUUCUCUCUCUCUCUCUCUCUCUCUCUCUCUCUCUCUAUGGUGCAUGUAAAAAACCCUAGGACCACCAGCUUAAUUGGAACACAAGGAUCAUUUGAGCUUUCUCUUUAUUGCUUCAAGUUCUUGUAGCUCUGCCAUGAGAGUUGUGUGUUCAGGAUAACAUGUGUUCUUCGAUGCAGAUUUAGUCCAUGAGUUAUCUUCAACAAAAAAUCAUCAUUAUGCACUAAGAAUGAAUAUAUUAUAUAUAUGUGCAUAAUAUAUAUUAAUCAUUCUUGUUGGGAGUUUUAGCUUUUCUUGCUAGAAAUAAAGACAACCGCACACCAUCUGCAUGUGAAUUUUGUUUCUCUUGUGUUCUUGGCCUUUAAGAUUGCGAGGAUGUAUUCUACUUUCAAGUUGUCUAACUCACACUCGUAAAUUAUUUCUAUAGAUAUUCCUGCUUUGUUGUCUCUAUUCCCGAGUUUCAUGGAUUGUCAUGUCUACAUUUUUGGAUGAAGGUAAGUAAAUGGUUAGAUCACUGCAACCCCAUUCUAUCUCCAUAUUGUUUAUGAAAAGCCUAUUUUUCGGAACCUCUCCAUGUAUUUGCCAAAGAGGAAGGACGCCUCUGCUAUGUAUGUCCUCACGGAAAGCUUUGUAUAAGGAUAGAUGAGCUUGACAUAUAAUGAGUGCAUUCAUUACGCACGGCCGCAAUUGUCGAACGCCCUUUGAUGAAUGCAUUUGGUCAGUAAUUCUUCCUUGUUUCUGUUUGUGAAGUGAAAGUGCUUCUUCGAUCCUCACUCGACUGUAUUACUCCUAUGCAGAAGGAACUCUUUGUGGUACCGACCACUUCUCACCCGAGUUUGCUUCUCAAGUCUACUCCUUGAUCUAGUGUUAGAUUUCUGGUUCCUCGUAUCUAUUACACCUUCACUUCAGCUAUAACAGCAAUCAUGUUUAGCUGUUCUUCCUGGGGAUCAUGUGUGCCUCCAUGAUCCUAAUUUUAUAUGAAUGCAUUUCUUGUGCAAUGCAACGAGUUGUGUCUGGCUGUUCCCGAUUUGUUCGUACCACAGAUAAUUCAUAACAUGUUAAAAGUUUCAGUUCCAAGAUCUUAGUAGCUGCAGUUGUUUAUGGAUAUCAGCCAGCCACCUCUAUCUACCUUUUGAUGCUGUUCUUCCAAAUGUCAUCUGGUGUUGCUAUUCCUGAUACUGAGAUGUGACGAAUCAAGCACCAGGUGUCGUCUGUAUAUUUUGCUUGACUAGUUAGUUCUUGAAGAGAAGCUGCUUCGAUUGGAUCUCCGAGUUCCAGUGCGUACGUACGUUGUUUGUUGGCCUUGAAGGCAUCUCCUCCUUGACGUUGUUGAAGCACACCAUGCAUGGUCCGUUGGCUACUCUGAGAUGUGUAUCAGUCAUCGUCUUCUUCAGAGCAGCAGAUAGAUAGAUGAUGAAACCCUAACCCUAAGUGAUUAAGCUGGCACUCGCGGCUUCCUUUCCCGAUGCCGUGGGAGGUGGAUGGCAAUAAAAAAGAGAGAUCACGAAGCCUCAAAUCUUCCCAGUCUCGCAUUGGAAACGGAUUGUCUGGUUUCAUGCUUCGCCUCCCCGGUGGAGCACUUCCGAGUUCCAAGCAACGUGGGGUGCAUGAAAGCCACUUUGGCCCGUUCUGCGAAGCCACCUCUCCAUGCUGUCCUUUUACCACCUUUUUCCCAAGGCAAAAGCUGGGCGACACUUUAUCACACUCGACUGCACUCGCGCCCAGUAGUUGUUUCCUUUGUAACCAUCCAUCGAGAUAAUCUCAUACACACACAGACACAGAGAGAGAGAGAGAGAGAGAGAGACUCAUACACCCACGUACAGAGAGAGAGAGAGAGAGAGAGAGAGAGAGAGAGGGAUUGAUUCUUAUUAGGAGGAGGUGAAGAUUGUUUUGCUGAAGUAAAAUGUAAGAUAAAGAUAAAAAGUUCAGAAUCCUAUAAUUGUUUUCUUAAAAUGAAAUCUCUUGGGAUAUUUUUUACUUACUUUAAUAUUCAUUCCUGUGAAUAUAUUUAUUAUGUGAUCAUCCAAAAUAUUUUUUUUAUUAAAAUUUUUAAAAAUAAAUCUAAUAUGAUGUUCUAUCUCUUAAGUUGGGAUUUAAAAAAAGGUAAAAAAAAUUAAUCUAUUUUAGAUAAUUAAGUCUUUAUUAUUAUUAUUGUUAUUUUGUGUUUUUAUUUCAAUUAUCGUAUAAUAAUAAUCGGUUACUUUUCAACAAUGAAUUUUUAUUUAUUUUUUUUAUCUUUCGAUAAUAGAUUUCUACUCUGUGGGUUUGCACGUAACGAAGCAGAGUCUGUACUUUCUUUUUCUUAUUGGGAAACGUAAUCGGACACAACAAAGUGACACAAAAGAGUUGCUGUCACCGACACAGACUAUUAGGGUUUUGUACUUUGGAGUAGAGAGAUGUGUGAUUCCUGUUGGGAUAAAGAUUGAGAUUCGUGCGAUCAGCAAUUUAUGUUUUCUUCUUUUUCCAUUUUUAUUAUUCUUUGAGAAAUUUUUUUGGAUUUCUAUAUAUAUUGGAAGAAUUGUAAUCUUUAAUUCCAAUAUUAAUGGUGAAUUUGUUCCAUUUCUAAAAGCUCAAACAUUAUUUUGAUUACAUGAGUAGAUAGAUCAUCUAAUGCCGAGAUCUAAAUCGAGCAGCCUGAAAGAAAAAAAAUAAUCAACAGUAAACUAAAUCUUAAAUGGCUUGAUUUCUAGCCAUAUUUGUAUCAAAAAAUAUUUCAUGACAUAAAUCUUGCACACUUUAUUUACCUAAUAACAAAGACAUGAAAAGAUGAAUGCCAAACUUGUGUUCCAACAAUCGAACUCAUGCAAAGCUUUGCUAACUGUUCCAUAUGUUCAUAAAUAGUUUUACAUUUGCAUAAAUAGUUUCUUACAGUAAGUGAAGUUUUUCCACGUCCGAUGACAGCUUUUGUAGUCAAAAGCAAAAGCUGUUCCAUUGCAGGUGAGCCUCAAAUAGUUGUUCUAAAGCAUGUUGGCAUCAGAGACAUCAAAAUUUUCUGGAAAUAUUUUCGAGAGAUACUCCUGAAAAUGGUUCGAGUACGCUCUGGGAUUUAAUCCCGAGACCGACGGAGAGUCUGCGUGCAGAGACUUUAUAACGUGUUCCAUGUGCUUAAGCAUGCUGUAAGGUUGAAGGAUGUCGAUUACCCCCAAGAAGAGGAACACAUUGUUGAGUUGAUUUUUCCCCGUGGCAUGAGUUGGUGGUGCCAAAUUGCUUUCCUUUUUCCGAGAGCCGACCGCCCGGGCUGCCAUCCGGACACCGAGUAUACCUUCGGUUCUGCAACCAAAGAUCAGUUUCUGCAUUACAACGCCAUUUGAUCAAUACGGCACAUCAUCGAUGGAGCAUAUGUUGUACAAUGCACAAAGAAGAAAUAAACUAGAAGAUAAUCGACGAUCUAUAUUGGUUCUAACCGGAGAACCUAUCGAUGUGUUCCCACUAACUGCAAGAAUGAGAGAAAGGUAUUUUACUCUGUAGGAGAGGAUGAGGAUGAGUCGUCGCCAUCUGAUGGAAAACUUUGAUCUGCAUGGCUGUGCUCUGAUUCAGCUCCAUCUGAACUCUUGUCGCAAUCAUCUGUGCCUGCACGGAAUAUGCACUGCACUUCUUAGUAAUAAUUCCCCCGUUCAAAAAUACCAACGCCAAUAUUAUUUUGCAUGACAUGGAAAUUUGUAAAGAAAUGUAACAAAAAAAAUCUGAUUUAGUAAAAAAUUCCUAUUAUUAUUUACCAAUAUAGUUUCAUUUCCUCAUUGCAUUUUUUUCAUCCAUUAUUUCCUCCAUAUCCAACCUUCAUAUUCUUUGGUGCAUUUGAAAAUAAGUCCUCUAUACUUUAACUCAUACACAGAUUGAACAAAAAAAUAUAUAAAUCCUUCAAUUUAACUAAACUACAUGUAAGAUUCUUUUUUCUAACAUGGAUUUGAACCCGAGAUAUAUCGACCACGUAAAAUUGAUGCACCAAACAUUAACUGGAUGGGGCCUCUGUUCAAUUUUAGUUAUGAUCCUAAUCCGACAUAACUGGAUAGGGCCUCUGUUCAAUUUCCUGUCCAUCGUUUGGUUUGGAUCCUGUGCUGCAUGGUUGGUGGUACCUGAACUCAACCAAACCUGAUAUCAUCACGAUAUGCAUGUGAAUUUAACCCUAAUGACAAUGCAUAUCUUUAAGAAGAAAAAGACAUCCAAGACCUCCCACAUUGGACUAUGAUAUCUGGUCAUAUCAAGAGGACCGAGGCACCUAGAGACUAUUGAAGCCUGUUCCCCAAGUUAAAUAGUUUUUAUUAUUGAAAGACAACAUUCAACAUGUUUUUACCUGCUGAAUUUGCCGAAGAGUGGUGAACCUGAAGAAUAGCCUCAAAAGGUGCAGAACAAAUAUGCAUUCCGAGAAGGAGAGAGUAGUGCAUGAUGCCCUCUUCUUCCAAAAAAUUGCAGUCAUGCUUUAAUUGUCUGAAACAAGGAAAUUGAAGAGUAAGCAAACUAAGAAACAUCAAGUAUAGCAGAAUGGUGAUUGACUAUAGCACAUCAAGAGUAAGCUAUCGAAAUGCCUGCUUGAUGACAUAGCACCGAAUCAUAACAAGACUUUAAACAGAUACAAUCCAAUGAUCAACCUGAUAAUCAUAAAAGGACUCAGACCUAUAUACUAAAGCUCACAUGAGUGGCAUUCUCAUCACUGUCUGACCCAAGGUAACAAACACGACAAGAACAUAAGAAAUGGGUAGAUAUAUUGUAAAAGUUCAUUAAUUUUUCCUAACUACACAGAAUUACAAUAUGUUUCUUUCUGAAUCACUAGCAUCUGUCAGUGGAAGAAAUACAAAUAACCACACAAAAUCCAAUUUAUCAUGAAAUUGAAGAUUUUAAGUUCUCUAGAGGAUUAACAAAGAUGAUUUGGUCAAGAAAUGAUAUCUUUCAAGCCAUAGAAACUUAGAAACUCACGUCAGAAGUUUAUGCCGAAGAGAUGUAUGUAAAUGAAAAGUCAUAUUAAGAUCUUCCUCAUCUCCCGUUUUGUGCACAUGGUGGCUAUUCGGUGAAUCUCUGAGAACAAAAUGCUUGUGAAUCUUUAAAUCUGACUGAAGAAUAUUUCCAAUUACCACAAAGCGAACCUGUUAAGAGCAACAUGUUACAUGAUCUACUAUUUAACAACCACUAAAUAUAUAAAGCAUAGAAACGAUAUCCUAGUAUAGCAUUAGUGUAAAAAGAAAAAAGAAUUUAACCCUUUGAAUAUAGAUAGAUAAAGCUUUAGUAUUUGCACAAAAGACUUCAAUAAUACAACAAAGAUUUCUGACUGUACCGCCUAGUUCACUCUAAGGAGAAGGUUUUCAUUUGUUGCAUCUUGCCCUCAAUAGGAUUGAGAAGCUCUACAGUGGCGAAUUUUAAAAAAAGUUCUACAUAAAAAAUUGUCUAACAAUAUAUUUUCAAUGUUUAUGUGAAACACUGGAUGUACUGCCACACUUGUCCUUUCUCAUAUUCAAACUACUGAGUCAGCUUUUCAAUAAGAUGAUUAGGUAUAUAUGGUAUGACAAGGCUCCACAAGACAAUCUGGUCAACUAAUUAGUACAUAAAACAUCAACAAACAGAACUAGAGAAAAAUGUGCACAGUUUUCAACUUUGCUCACUUCUACCAAUCCCUGACACGUCUUCCCUAUGACUAUUUAUCCAAAGGGAAAAGAUGUAAAUUUAAGAUCUCUUUAAGAUCUUAAAUACACUAGCACAAAAAAAUGUAUGGCAUGUUACUGUUUUAAAUUUAAGAUCUCUUUGCUCUUUCUCUGCCUCUAUUGUGACCUUCAAUUUUUUUUUAUAUUGUCUCACUUUAUAGUCACAGGUUACAUGUCUCUUUAGAGAUGUGCAAAUUUCCUUAGAUGAAUUUUCCAAUUUAAUCAAUAUCUCUUAUUGGUAAUCAUGCUAUCUCAAACUUGCAAUGAUUUGUUUCUUUAACAUUUUUUCUAAUAAGCAACAGAUGCCCGUUUCAACAUCCUUAUACAUGAUAUAGAGACCUUCUUUUUCCAAAUCGCAUGACACUUUGGCCUACAAAAAUACAACUAGGCUUACGAUUGUCUCAUAAAUCCUUUUACUAGUCUAGGGGUAUAUGAUAAUCAAACAGCAUCCUAGAUUUCCCUAUCAUGAAAAUUUUAAAUUUGCUUCUUGUAUAUUUGAUAUAGAUCCAAAACAUUAAAAUUCUAGAUCCCCUUUAUCAACAAUGUCAAAACUACUACUGAGAGAGAACUUACAAUAAGGGAGAUCUCGCUGAGAUAUAGAGUUUCUUGCCGAUGCCGAGGUCAGAGUGAAAGAAUAAGCUGAGGUUAGUCAAUUACAAUAAGAGAUUACUUUUUGAUGUUGACUAUUGAUAAUGGCAUGGCAAUGAUUUGUUAGCUCCUAACAAAAUGGAUGCAUGCCUUUUCUUUCUUUUUAUUCUUAUCCUCUUUUUUAUACAGGCAUGCCUGUCUCGUCUUGAUGGUGUUCCAAAGAAUAAUGACAUGAACAGGCUGUCUGGCAAUCAGUGAGGGAGAAAUAAUGCUGCCAACAAGGAAAUUCUUGCCUAUGAGAGCCCUGUAAUUUGCAAGGGUAAGAUCAGAAGAGACAAUAGAAUGGAUAGUUGUAAAAAUAUUCCUUAUUGUUUUCUUCUUCUCCCUCAUAUAAUAGUCCAUCCAUCUUAGGGUGAAUUCAAAGAAAGAUUGGUGGUUUAGGAAUAGCAAGCCGUAAGUUGCAGGUAAAGUCUAAUCGUCAAACGUUUAACUCGUUGAUUUUAUAUGGAGGGCUCAUGUGUAACAAAUUCAAAUGUAAUUCUCAGGAUAUAAAUAAGUCUUUCCUGUCAUUGCUGAUAUACUUGUCAGCAACAACUAAAACAAUUUUCAGUAAUAGGUGCAAUCAAGCCCCAAAAAUCUGAUUUGCAGUUUUUCAGGCUAUAUGAGAAAUUAGAAAUCAACUCUAUCCAACUUAUUUAAACGGGAUCAAAUUUUCUGUAAAAAAAACCAUAAAACUUUAUAAAGACUUUUCCUACCUUUAACAACUGAUUUGCAGUUUUAAACAUUUGAUGAAUUCAUACGAAAAAUAAGCAAACACUCUUAUCAUCAUAUGAGACCAGAAGUUAACUCAGAUAUAUCAUGUUCUACCUUUUUUCCACCUUGUGGCUGAACAACAUGAAGCCCAUAGAAUUUUGCAAGUAAAGUGUUAUUGUACUUCUUCACAUGGUGAUAAUAUUUUGGCAGUAGUUCUAAAAGGGCCUGCAAGAAUUAUUAUAUAAACAUCAUAUCUGCAGGUGCAAUAUAUUUUUUGAUGUACUAAAUGAACCUUGCAUUAAGGCUAAUCAUUAUGUUAACAAGAAACAUUUUGAUAAAAAGGCCCUCUAGAAGUGCCAGAUAGCAGGAAUCGUGUAGAUAAUUAACAGCUAUUAAGUAAUGGUAAAUAUGAUCAAGUGCAACAUAACAAAAAAUAAAUGCAUUUUGUUCUUCUCACCAGGUUUACUAGUACCUAAUCACGUUUUAAUAAUGUUCUCUACUCAGGUUUACUAGUACAAAAAUAAAUAGUUAAAUGCAUUUAUUUUUUUUCUUCUCUCCAUCUACUCAUAUCAUAUACCAUAGAUUUCACAUGAGUACAACACAAUUUACAGCUAGUCGAGUGGCUGAGUCAACUCCUUGUCAUAGUUGUCACAAGAUAUCUAUCAUGAAGUUACAUAUCUUUUUUUCUAAUCAUUACAUCAUCUAAGCUGUUUUGAAAGGUUAUUUCAAUGUUUUAAUAGCAAAAAUAGCAACGUUCAAUUAUUCCAGCAAACAUAACACAGUCAAAUGAUCGGAAAAAAUCAAAUAAAGCAACCAAUAUGAGCCGAGAAAGGAACUGAACCAUAAAGGAGACUAUGAAAGUACCAUAAAGGAGACCAUGAAAGUACCUUCAUGUGAGAUUUGCUUAUGAUCUUUAAGGCAAACCUAUUAUCACCGGAUAAAUGGAGAGAAGAAACCUUUUUUUUGUUUGAAAGGUGCCUUAAGGUUUCAUGACCACGUAUCACAUCGAUGUAUCCAUUAAUAUCAAUAUCAUCAAACUCUUGAAGUUUCCUACAAAAAGUUCAAAAAGAGUAUGUAGAACAGUAAAUUCAGUGGAGACAAAACAGCCCAGUGAACUAAAUGGUAAUGCAAUAUCCUAAGAUGACAAAGAAUGUUUCUUAGAAUCAUAGCUAGCCAAGAAAAUAUUAUCAAUAGUACAAUCUCUCUUUAAAUUUGCAGAUACAAAUGGCAAGUAUAGACUAAUGAAAAACGAUGGUGAAAGUUGUAUUCUGCAAUUAACAUGCCAUAACCUCUUUUAUUUAACAAGUUCACAUUAAAAAGGAGAUAAGAUGUAUUUUGUGCCUACUCUUUUAUUCUUUAAAAUCUUAUAAACCAAUGAUAAACACAGGACAUCCUUGAAUGCACUUUGUCAAUAUCUGAUUGCAAUUUGUUGCAAAGAAAGAAGUCAUUAAUAUCUAAUAUUUAUUUAAUCAGAACAGAAGAUUAGCAUGCCCUCUUCAGAAAAAAGGUUUUGGCAAGAGUCACUGUGAACCUGAAAACAGCAGUACUGUAAUCUGUCCACUCAAACUCAGUUUGUGUGCCUUUAGAAUCAAUAGAGCAGCGUAGCAAAAAAGUCGAAGUGGAAUUAAAAUCAUGAUAAGAAGGUUCCUGCUCCGACAGCACCAGAUUUUGCUCCAUGUUUUCCUAUAUGCCAAACAACAUAUAAUUAAUGACCUGUGCACUACAAAGACAAGAUUUCACAAGAUUCAAAUUUUAUUACGAAAAUAAACAGGGAAAUUGAGAAUUAAAUCAUAUGGCUGGAAAGGUUCAGCUUGCACAUAGAGUAGUAAUAUCGUGCAAGCAUAUAGAGGAAACCUUGACUUCAACUGAUAACAGCUUUCCAACUCGCUAGUUGCUUUGUGAAUAAUCAGUUCCACUUAAAUUAUAUAUCACUUGUAACAUAAAAUUCAAGAGUGUUUACAUUCCAUGAUUGCUCGCUGCACAGUUACCAUUGGAAGAGAACAUCUAAAUUUCAGAAAUUGCAACAGAAACUUGCUAUUCUAUUGUAUAUCCCAAUUUGAAAGCCAAAGGUCAUAUGACAAAAAUUAUAACUAAGAGAAAAUUGAGUGGUAUAGCGUGUACGUAACCUCUUCCCUAAAACUAUAGAAGAGAAAUUAAAUGAAACCUUUUGGUCUGUGCUUGAUCCACUAUCUCUCUAUUUUAGUUAAUAAUAUAAAAACCACAAAUAUAAACUAACACCAUAUGAACAAAAUGACGUAAAGAAAUAUCGAAAUUCGGCAUAAAACCAUUCCUGUGAAGUUGGUUAUAGAUGCUUGAUGCAAUUCAUGUUAGAUGCAUUUGUACAAAUACUUGUCUUGCAGGAAAACAGAGAGGAGGGGGGGGGGGGGGUGGGUGUGGGAGGAUAGUUAGACAUUUGAUUGUGCAGAGAAGAUGCCAUAACUCCAUUUUUAUGGUUUACUUCUACAGGAAUCACGUUAAUUAACAGCCUAUAAAGUAGCAAAAUGGCUAUGAGAAGAUUUCUAUCUUUCUAAAGACUACUUUUCAUCAUAUUUGGAAGGUUCUUUGUCCCAGUAUCCUCACACUACAAGACAAAUGUGCAUAAGCAUACGAAUGUUAGGUAAUACUGUGUCAUGCUCGAUACAUCAGAUUUGUUGAUUUGUCAAUAGUAACUUACACUUCAUCUGAACUGGCAUCUGUCCCUAUUACCCACCAAAACACCAACCAACUAGAAUAAGCAGUUUCAGAUCAGAGCAGCUAACUAUAAGCAUCAGAAAGAUUAUAAAGCCAUGGCGACAAUUUUUUUUAAGACCUGUUUAAGUUGUGCAUACCGAGUUCAUCUAUGAUUUAGCAGCAAGAAGCUGGAAACAGUAAUCAAGAAGGAAAAAGGUAGAACUGUUUGGUAAUUGCAAAAAUGUAAACCUAACAUUGGAAAGAAAUUGGCAAACUUACCAAUAUAAAAAUGAAAAAAAAACAAAUAAUAAAUCAACAGCGAGUCAGCAACUAUAAAACACCAAAACUUCGCCUAGUCUUCGAUUUGGCAACAGUUGAAAGUCUUUCAGGUCGAGACCGCUCCCGUCGAAUCCAAGGACCUACAGCACCUCUGACGCAAAGGGGGCAUCUGUUUUCGGAAAUCAAGAAUGCUACUGGACCAAUUCCAAGCCCCCAGCAACGGGAUGAUCGAGGGCACGGAACCAAUGGGGCGAAGAGAAGAAACCGGAAGGGAAGGGGAGACAAGGGUCAGGAACGUACCGAGGGAGGCGUUAUCGGGGGGAGCGGGAGCGGAGGCAGGAGGCAGGAGGCAGGAGGCAGGAGGCGUGGAGUGGGAGUAAAUGUGGAGGGCGGAUGUUCUAAAUAGGGGGAGAAGGAGUCGAGAUCGAAGCAGCCGGCGAGGGGAGGGCUGGGAACAGCGUGGAAUCGAUGCGUCAUCGUUGGCGGAAGGGAAUGGAGGGCCGACCCAACGCCCAUUUCGUUGCUUGACAUGGAAGGAGGCGGGGAGGGGAAACAACGGUUAAAACAGUUACAGCAUUUUCCCGCUGUUUUAAUUUUGGCAUAGGAUAUAUAUAUAUAUAUAAACAGAGGUUUUUAUUUUAUAUUUUGAAAAUAUAAAAAAACACACACAAAUAUAAAAACAGAGGUCUUUUAAAAAAAUAUUUUAUAUAUAACUUUUUUUAAAUAAACCUUUUAUUUUUUUCUCAUAAAACCUCUCCUGUUUUUUUAUUUUUUAUUUUUUUUUCAAUUCAAUCUUUCCUUUAAUUGAACUAAGUCAUUUAUUUAGAGCCGACAACUCAAAAUGUCGAUAGAAUUUAAGUAAUAUUAAAUUUUAUUUGUUAAAUGAAUAGAUUAUAUAUAUAUAUAUAUAUUUAAAUUAGUAAAAAUAGUCAUAAAAUUGAAAUUAUAAAUAUUUAACAAGAUUGUGCUAUUUUUAAAUUUAAUAAAAAUCAAUAAAAUCUCAUUAAGAACAGUAUAAUUAAACAACAUAAUUUUUUAUAAAAAUUAAAUGAUGAAAACGAAAUUUGAGCCUAAAAUUUAGGCUGAUUUAUCACUAUUAUAUAGGCUAAUCAGUAUAUUCAAAAAAAUAAUUUUAUCCAAAAAAAUUAUACACUACUUAUGAAUAUUAAAUAGUUGUUCUAUUGAAGAUCAAUAUGAUGAUAUAAUUGAUGAAAGUAAAAGAAUAAUAUAUAUUUUUAACUUAAUUUGCUCUAAAAUGAGUGUAACUACUCAUUUUAUGUUUUAAAUAGGUGGUCUAAAAUAAGGUACCAUAUAUAUUAUAAUUAAGUAAAAUAUUUCACACAUUAUAAUCAAACUAAAAAACUAAUUAUCCAUAAUCGAUCGGGCUCGACAUAUAAAGUCAAUUUAGCUUAGAAAUAACGAUAUAUUAAGUGUGCAUACUACAUACAUCAUUAUAUUCUCGAACUUAGGUUUUUAUAAUUGCUAACCAUCGUAGAACAAAUGCCAGAAGAAAAGAAUUUUUUCGGUCAAACUUUGCAUGAUUCAUCAAAACAAAGUAAGUUGCUACUAUUAUUGCACCAAUCAUCCAAAUUAAGAUUGGUCGAUCGAACCCAAUUUGAUCCUAAUCAAGUCACGUCAUGAAUUUGGAUGAAGCUUCAUUUAUUAGACAUCUUCUAUGAUCGACUUCUUAAGUCAACUAUUUAUAUCACACUUUUAUUCCAAAUUGAGAUCAACUCCACCAAAAUCGAUGCUAACACUUUCCAAUUAUGGUCAACACUAAUAGCAUAUGAUAUCACAUAGACAUAUAUAUAUAACAUCUUUUCUUUGCGUAGCUGCAAAGUAUUCCUAUCUUCUAGAGGUGGAAGAAGGCAUGCCAAAACAACAAAAUUCCUUCCUAUAAUUAGUCAACAAUUCCACAUUGUUACUAAACAAUAUGAUCGUUACAACAUGACCAUCAUAAUAAAACGUAUUUUCAUACAUCAUGAUGAAUUAUUUAUUGAUUGUAAGUUUAAAUUAUUUCAAUUGCCAUUCAACUCUUAACAUUUAAUACACUCAUAUCAUGUUAAAUUAUUUUAUUUGAAUUAAAAAUAUAUCAAGGUAUAAAAAUAACUAAGAGUUUUAGCUAUAUAUAUAUAUAUAUAUAUAUAUAUAUAUAUAUAUAUAUUGUCAUGUGUUUGUAACAGUGGCACAUACUAUAAUAUAACAGCCUAAAAGUGACUGUUUCAUGAUAACGGAAGAAUAUAACGAUUUGGAGGUGCAUACCGUUAUAUGAACUCCAAUUUUACGUUCCUUAAAGCGUUAUCAUAAUAUAUCACGAUUCGAAGGUGCUCGUAACACCUGACUAUAACAGUUUCAAGGGGAAAGGGGGUAUGUAAAAGGCAUGUAUUAUACGUCGGGACGGAGUGGGGUUAUUUAGGGCUCCAAAGACGACUCUUUUCUCUAUCUCGGUCGGGAGAGGCGGGAAGUUUGCUCUAAUUGGACCCAACCCUUCUUCUCUAGUCCCUCCUCUGACCUUGCAAGAGUCCGAUAGGGUUUCGUUGUCCCCGGAUUGAAGCGAUUGCGAGCUCUCGAUCCUCUUCUUCCUUCUUCUUUCGCAAUAGAUCGUUCGGGCGACGGCGGGAAUUAGGGUUCGGGAGGGGUUUUGGGAGGAGGAGGAGUAGGGACGAUGCCGAUGGACGCGACGGUGCUGGAUGAUAUCAUACGGCGACUUCUGGAGACCAAAGGCGGGCGGACGGUCAAGAAUGCGCAGGUGACGGACCCGGAGAUCCGGCAGCUCUGCGUCGCAUCGAAGGAGGUCUUUGUCAGCCAGCCCAUUCUGCUGGAGCUCGAGGCCCCCAUCAAAAUCUGCGGUAAAUUGGCAAAACAAGAUUUGAUUUUUAUCGUGGUUUCGAAUCCUUUGCUUUUUCUUCUGUCAUCGGAGGCACGAUGUGUUCUUUUGCCUAUUCUGCUUUCUUACGCGUUCGAACUGGAGCGUCUUUUCGUUUUCGGUUUGAUAUCCGCUGAGACCAAGAUUGAUUGGUCCUGAUAACCGAAAUCUUAGUAGGAAUACCGAUGCCAUGACUGUCAUCCUUGCUUAAUGUGUAGUUGAAAUGGCUUGUUCUUGUUAUCUUUGCCAUGCGGCCCGCUACUACUUGUUUUAUUUUUUAUGGCGCCGAAGAAAGACUUCUGGUCAGAUUUCUUAUAUCUUUCAUUUGACACAUGUCGUUGAUAUCUGUAUGGUGUCUGGAACUUCGGCGUGCUGGUGAAGUCUCUGGCUAAUAGUUUGAUAAUCUUGGAGUUCUAAUCGCAUUUGCUAUAACUAGGUCAUAAUGGUUGCCACAUGUCUUCAUACCUGCCAUAAACAUGAAGUUUCUAAGCUAAUAUGUGUGUAGUUUUCUCUUUUUCUAUUGCUGCGUUGACAUGCUAGCAAAGUAUGACAUCGGUUCUUAUCUAGGUACCUACUGCUACUCUCUAAGCAGUUCCUGUAAGAUAUCAUUUUUAACAAUAUGAAUAAAUUGUUUUCUCUUUGCAUAUAUGUUCAAACUUUGGAGCAACCAGGCCAUAACAAUUUGCUUCUCUUUUUUUUGCAUUAGCUAUGAAUUGGGGUCCAAGUUAAAACUGAUAAUUAAUAAUGCUUGAUUUUCUAGGUUUUACACAAUCGUGUUUCGAUAUUAGAUAUUGUUCUCAGUUUGAGAUUAAAGGGCUGUCGCUAUGUGGUCUCUAUAAUGCAAUGAAUGUAACGGAUUCCAAAGUCCAGGUUUUUAGAAAAUGAUACUGGUACCGAUACUAAUCACCACUUGAUAGUUGCCAAAGGUGUUAACCUUUUUGAAUCAAUCAAGUUUAAAUACCUUUUAUAAUCUAGUUAGGGGCUUUGGAUAGUUUUAACAAUAAACAAAAAGCCAACUGAACCAUAUCCUCUUUUCCCCUUCAUUGUUCUGUGAUCUUAGCUAUAGAGUUCUCUUUCCUUUCUUGGUUUGUUUGGCCUCUGGUUCUCCUAAUUGAGGUUCUUGUCUGGCAUCAUGUAAUCUAAAGAAGAUGAGCCUAAGGGAUCUUAUGUAACAUAAUACAGUUGAGAUUCUCUUGAUGUCUUUUUGUGUGAUGACCUUAAUUUAUUUUUAAAAUUGAAUUAGUCCAAACAAGUCUUUAUUGGUCACUUUGGCAUAGAGGUCAGUACGUAAUCAUCCAUGUUAAAAUGAAAGGUUUGAUAUGCGGGGGCAUUCUGUUUGAUGGUUGUGAAAUGUUAGAAGUUUAUCAUCAGAAGUCGGAGCACAAAUCAUUUUGAACUCAAAACGAUAAGAUGAUUUGGUUGAUGAGCUGCUGAUACAGCAGUGGCUAUUGUGUGUUGAGGAUUGUAAGCAUUAUAUUAACAGCCUUCCUUUUCAUAUAUAAUGGAGAAAAUUUGGUCUACUUGCAAUAAUUAUGUGGUGGCUAAACAUUUAAUUAGACUGUAGAGUGGAUUGGAUUCCAAGCAAUCAUUUGAUAGAUCCAUUGUAGUAUUAUGUUGCUUAGUUACUCUACUGAAAACUGUGGUACUAAAGCUUGUUUGUAUAUUAGUGUGUCCUUAAUGAUGUCAAAAAGCUGAUGUCUGCUCGAUUUUUGUGCCUUGUCGGAAAUUAAUUGGGAUUCUUUGUCCUUGCAAUUUUUUUGUAGUCUUUAUUGCUGCUAUUUUCAUAAGAAUAUGUAAUUGGGACAAAUGCUAUUUCACAAGAAGUUGCAGCCUGAUCCUGAUCUGUUCUCUACAUGUCUAGUGCUUGUGUUGUUACUCUCCUAGAGAAUUGAUAGUUGCCUGAUAAGGAUGCGGAACACAAAUUUUUAUUUGUAUUGUACCAAUUCAGAACUCCAUCUCAACAUACUAACUUUGGUGACUGCAGGAGAUAUUCAUGGCCAAUAUGCUGAUCUUCUUCGCCUUUUUGAAUAUGGUGGAUACCCACCACAAGCAAAUUAUUUGUUCCUUGGGGACUAUGUUGAUCGUGGUAAGCAGAGCAUAGAAACCAUAUGCCUACUCCUUGCUUACAAGAUUAAGUACCCAGAGAACUUCUUCCUGUUAAGGGGUAAUCAUGAAUGUGCUUCUAUUAAUCGUAUAUAUGGAUUCUAUGAUGAGUGCAAGAGGAGAUAUAAUGUUCGUUUGUGGAAAGUUUUUACGGAAUGUUUUAACUGCCUUCCGGUUGCUGCACUUGUUGAUGACAAGAUACUGUGUAUGCAUGGGGGUUUAUCUCCUGAACUAAAGAGCUUGGACCAGAUCCGAAAUAUUGUUCGUCCGGUGGAUAUUCCAGACCAAGGUCUCCUUUGUGACUUGCUAUGGUCAGACCCUGACAAAGAUAUCGAGGGUUGGGGAGAAAAUGAUAGAGGUGUCUCUUAUACUUUUGGGUCUGACAAGGUGGCUGAGUUUCUUCAGAAGCAUGAUCUAGAUCUCAUCUGUCGUGCCCACCAGGUUAGCUGUGGUACACUGAAAUUUCAUUUAGGUCGCUAUUCAUUUUGCCUAGCUGUUGAAACAAACACAAACAGCAUAUUGGAAAAGGAUAGACUUUUGUUAUGCUUUUGCUCAAUUUAGUAUCUCCAGAAAUGUGAUUCCGAUGUAGUAUUGCUAACAUCGAAGCAGAUGAAUCAUAGGACAGUGAUCUUCAGUAACCGUCCGCUUGCUGGAAACUUUAUUGAAUGAAAAAAUCCAAUCCAACUGUAAUGCAUAUGGUUAAUAUCUUUUGGCAGGUUGUGGAAGAUGGAUAUGAAUUCUUUGCAAAGCGCCAACUGGUGACAAUAUUCUCUGCCCCAAACUAUUGUGGGGAAUUUGAUAAUGCUGGUGCUUUGAUGAGUGUAGAUGGCACUCUGACCUGUUCGUUUCAGAUACUUAAACCAGCUGAUAAGAAAAAGGGAUUUGGGAAUAUGUUAAAACCAGGAACACCUCCCAGGAAGGUAAUAAAUUGGAGAACAUUUUGGCAUUUCACCAGUCAUGGAUGCAUACUAUAUUAUGGAUGAUCAUUCUGCAAAAAUAUGAUAUUUUGUUUCAAUCAUGUUUUUUCAGAUAUUGCUCAAUAAUUAUUGGGACUCUUCUCUUUCACAUGUCACUGUUCAUUUCUUUCUUCAUCUAUAGAAUUGUAGAUAAUGGAUUCCCACUGGUCAUAAAAUCCAUAUCAUUCAUGCAUAAAAAUUGCAACUAGUUAAGUGGCUUUUACCAAAGAUGAUAAUGGCAUGUUAUUUUCAUGCAUUGAACACACUCUCUUUAGAGAUCUUUAUAUGUUAGUUGUCUUAAGGGAUAUAUUUGUUUUCCUAUUUUUCAAAUCAUCUGAUGAGUUGGGUGUUUUGAGUUCUUAACCUUUUGGAUUUUUUCUUUUUAAUUUUAAGGUGGAUGUAUGCAAGCUGUCAUAAUGGUUUACAGUGAAUGGAUGUGUUUGGUAACCUGAAUAUGAAGCAUAUAAAUCAGCAAAUCUGCAUAGUCCUCUGAUCAUCAUCUAGGUUGGUAGAAGUUGCUGAUAUUUAGACUAAUAGCGUGGAGCCUGACAUGCAAUUAAUUGCUGCCGCUGUGGUUUAAUUUGUGGGAAUCUGUUUCAGGCCCUGAUCUGGAAUUCUUGUUUUUGCUCCAACUUGAUUUGUGGGUGCCUUUUGCAUUUUGUCUAUUGAAAGCUGAAUUUAUUUGUCAUGUCAUCUUCCUAACAUAGAACUAGGAUUAGUAUUUUUACAUAGAACAUACUCCAUAACCAUGUUUUCUUCAAAACCUUUCAAAAUGUUGAUUCUGUUGGAGCUUUUAAAUAAUAGUCUAAAGGCCUCAAAAGUUACUACGAUGCCAUCUAUUAAAUGUGCCUCAAAAUUUGUCAUUUGGUUUUCGUGGGACUUCUGUUUGUCGAGUAGAACCAAAUAUGCUAUGUGAAUGGUCAUCAUGCAGGAAGGAAACGUUCUUUUUAAUCCAGUCUUUGUUCUGAGUUUGAAUUUAAGAACUUGUGACCUUUUAGAUGCUUAUUUUUGUCAUAUAUAAAAAAUGAAAUUAUAUUGUCUGGUUUUUAUCAGGGAGGGAGAUGUUGACAUAUGAGGUCAUUCGAUGUGGGCUCUAUUCUUGGGACAUACAGAACCUUGCUUGAGGAGACGACUGCUUACCACCAUUCACGGAGUUGGAGUUUAAAGCCAGAAUCUGCGACCUUUCACGAUUGUUCUGACAUUGCCUGGCUGCCAAAUGUUGUGAAGCUGAAUGCAAAAGAUAACCUUGUGGUCAUGCCCUGUCUUAUAUUAGUUCAUGUAGUCUUUUAGUUGUUUAGCUCCGAUCUUAGAACUCAUCAAAUUGCUAAUCAUGAUCUAUUGUUGAAUGCUUGCUCUGAAAUCUUAACGCUUGCUCAUUUGCCGAAAACUGUGUUUAUUACACAAAUGAAUGAAGGAAUUUUAUAAUGUGUCGAAAUUUUCAUGUCCUUUAGGGAUAGUAAGGUUUCUUCAAAAAUCUUUGAUUCAAGGUUUGUCUUAUUGGUUUAUAAUGAUGUACCAACCAAUUAUUGGUAUGGUACUUAUCGAUAUAUCAUGUGUAUGUAUGGUGAGAUGCACUGGCAGUUUGAAAAAUAAAAAAGAUUGAAAGUGGUUUUAUGAUUUUUUAAAAAAUAAAAAAAAUUGAUUAAAGUUUUUAAGUUAAAAAUAGAUAUAAAUUUAAUAUAAUUUUAGUAAAAAUAAUUUAAAUUUGAAAGAAUAGUGGUAUAUAUUUUUUAAGGAUUUGAGAAGUAAUUUUAUGAUAUAUUUUAAAGUAUUUUUUAUUUAUAUUAAAUUAUUUAUAAAAAAAUAAUUUAAAUUAUUAUAUUAUUUGUUAAAUAAUUUAAAUUUUAAGAUUUAAAUAAAUCAAAUAAUUGAUUAAUAGUUAUAUCUGAUUUUAUCAUUAAAAAGAAUGAUGGAGGUCAUCGAUCUUAUAUAUUUAUAUAUGAAUUUGAUAUAUUUAUCAGACUAAUCCUGAAAUUGAUCCCAUGACAUAAUAUACUAAUGUAUCAUAUAUCAUUGUUGUAUCAAUGCACUGAUGAGAUAAUUAUAAUUAUGGUAUGUAUUGGUGUAGAGAUUGGAUAAUGCACGAACUUCUACGCGAGUGAUUUAUUGCUUUGUAUCGUAUGAUCAAUCACCAUACUUCAGCUCAAAGAAGAAUAAUCAACUAUCAUUGUACUGAUGUUGGUUAUAAUAUUCUCCAUAAUACGACGAUUGUAAAUAAGAUGAGCUUCACUUUAUAUUUGUCGUAUAAGCUCUAUCGCAUCUGCUCAAAAUCAUACACUACUUUCCUCUUUCCCUUUUGUAUAUAAACUUAACUAGUACUUCGUUGAGCUUUAUGAUCUGAAUCUUAGGUGGCAUAUGUAAAAUACUAUUUCUCAAUCCAUACAUCAUCCUCAAACUAUAUAAAUGAAACCAUCAACUCCCCAGCAUCGUCGCCAUCAUUGAUCUGGACACUAUUGUCAACAUUAUUGUCAUAUCUUCGGAUUAAACGAAUUAUUGAAUGUAAUUGUGAAGGUGUCUCAUCACCUGAAUCGAUUCUUUUCAAUAAUGUGGUUGAUGCUACUGUCUUCUUCUUUGUCUUUACAUGUUGAGUGGAUGAUUGUGAUGAUCGAGUGUCUCUAGUUUCUUGAGUAGUCUUGCUCGAUGUUAUCCGACUCCUUCUAUCAAAUUUUGAUCAAGAGUGAUCUUCCUUCUGUUAGGAAUGUGCUUCCUCUUUUUUCUAUUACCUCGGUAAUAAAACACGAAGGAUGUGGAGGAUCUCUUGCCUCAUGAAAUAGAGGAUCUUCAUGGUUCUUCAUUGUUUUAACUUACUCUAACAUCGAUUGUAAAUCUUCAUUAUAGUAUUAGAGGUCGAUGGGUUAAUCUCUGGUUUCUCUAGCUUAUUGUUCAAGUGUCGACACACCGUAAUCUUAGCCGCAUGUUGUAGUUGACAUAUACUAAUUUUUCAAUUAUUUAUAUGAUAAUAUAUUACAAACUUUCAUGUGAAUCAAUGUGAACAUUAACCAGUUACGUUCGUAAUCACUAGAUGUCAUUAACAGUGAAAGUACAUGGACAACAAUACUUCCUUAAAUUUAGUGCAUUUCCUCCGAAUUAUAGCCGCACUCGAAUGAAAAAAAAAAAUAAAUAAGACAUUGUUAGCAUAAUAAAUAAUUAAUAUUAAAUAUUAUUUAUAAUCAAUAUAUGUGUAACUUUUCUUUACCGAAUUCAAAUUAUAAUGAUACGAUACAACUACACAAUUGGAGAGAUGAAUCGAUUAUUUCUUGAAAUGAUUGACCCUCCAUAAUAACAUCGAUAGUAUUUGACAAGAGUCGAUAUAUAAUAUUUUUUAAUAUCAAUAAUAAAUCUGAUCACAUUCUAAGACUAUAUCAAAUUGAAUUAUCAUAUUUAGAUAGUAAGCCACAAGACAUAUAAUUUUAUUAAUAAUUUUUAAAAAAAUAUUAAAAAAUAUAAAUUAAAUAACACUGAAUAUGAAUUUAUCUGCAUUAUGGAUGUCUUGGUCCAUGUGAAUUUUGAUCAUGCGAUUGAUGAUCUAUUCUUGUGAGGUGACCACUAUCCCGAGAUCGUAUCUCUUGUAUUGACUUUAAGAUAAUAAAAUUUAUAAUAUAAGUAUUUUACAUCAUACUAUCUAAUCAUUUGUAUAGUUAUGCAUAUCCAAUGAUGAUUACAUAUUUUUAAUGAUCGAUUAUGUUUGAGCUAUACAACCGAUGAUAAACAUGAGGCUUUUCAUGGCUUGUUUAACCUCAAACAGAUUUAGGAUGGGACUUAUUAUUGCUGUGUUUUGUUGUGAAGCUGCGCCUGCUCGCGUCCAACAUACAAAUGAAGAGUGGGACCCGCCUCCAGUCUGCUUCUAUGGCAGGUUGGCGAGAGGGGAAAGCCGAACGGGUAUUCAAGUCUGGUGACUAAACACCAAGUUUGAUCUAUGGCCUACUUUAACCUCACGCAGACUUCGAGGUUGACACCCGAGACGCACGUUUGUCUCCCGCAUCUCGAUGAAGAGUGGGACCCACCUGUAGUCUGCUUCUAAGGCAGGUACACGAGACUGGUAAUGUAGAACGGGUCGCCGUAAAGAAAUACUCAUCCUUUAUUAUGGGCCCGGCUCGGCCCAACCAAUGCGCCUUGAGCGUCUUCGUUGGGCUCCACAGGCUUGGUUUGACCCGAUAUCCCCGUAUGAAAUCCCGAAGCAAAUGGCAUCCCGGCGGUCUCUCGCUUCGCGGCUAGGGUUUUACCGAGAGCAGCUCCGAUGGUAAACGCCUCUGCCUCUUCUCCUCUUCCUCUUCUGUCCGUCGUUGCCUCUCGAUCCCUAGAUGUAUAACCAGAAUGAAUCCCUGUUCAUUGGUUGCAGGGGAAGGGAACCGGCAGCUUCGGGAAGCGGAGGAACAAGACCCAUACCCUCUGCGUCCGCUGCGGCCGCCGCAGCUUCCACCUUCAGAAGAGCCGCUGUGGAGCCUGCGGUUACCCAUCCAGCCGGAUCCGCAAAUGUGAUCCGUUUACCCCUUCGAUCCUUGUUUUUUCUGUUCUUGUUACUCUUGGCUUAUGUGGAUUUUUCUCUUGUUUCGGGGAUUUGAUCUCUUAUGAUCGGUUUUUGGUUCGUCUGGAUUAGAUAACUGGAGUGUGAAGGCGAUCCGGAGGAAGACGACGGGAACUGGGAGGAUGAGGUACCUCCGCCAUGUUCCGCGUCGCUUCAAGAGCAACUUCUGCGAAGGUCACCAAUCCGGAUCCUUUAGAAAAAGUCAUUUUUUUCAGCUUCCGUGAUACAUUUGCAGGUCGUUUGAUGUUUUUCUUGCUAUUGGUUGUUCAUAGGCACUCAAGCGGCUCCCAGGAAGAAGCCCGCAGCUGCGGCGUAGUUGCAAUACGUGGGAAGGAGUUGACUUUUUUCUUUACGAUCCUAUGUUUUACUGCAAACGUUAGAUAAUUGUUCUGCAUGUUGGAAAUGGAUUAUGUAGGUUUGCUUUUUUUUCUGGAAAUCAUUUGGAAUUUUUGUGUUUUGAAUUUAAAGGUUCGAAGCUUGUGAUUUAAACUUAAAGGUUUGUCUGUGAACUUACAUCUUCGUAAUAUUAAUCAUCUGGUUGCUUCAGACGUAUUGUUUCACUUUCAGACUCCCGCAAGACUUUCAGACUCCCGCAAGACGUAAAAUUUUUGCAUUUCGGAUGCUGGGUUUAGUAGCGUAGUCAUCAGAUCCACAAGUCCAAUGAACUUUUUGACAAAUACGAGCUUAUGGUCUCUUUUUGUGGAAUGGGUCAUUUCCUUCCUUUGUCGGUAAUCUUCUUCUGUUGUUAUCGACAUUUCUUACAGUCUUUGGUAAUUGUAUUGAAGGUACUUUUAAUGAUAGACUUAACAACAAGCACAUGUUUCAUGUAUCACUAGGCCACCGAAUUUGGCUAAAGAUUGUGAACCUGCACAAGGCGAUGCUUUGAUGAUGUGUGACAUUGAUGAUGAGUCUGAAAAUUUCAAAUAUGAACUUUUGGCUUUGGGAUCCUGAAAAAGUAUCAGAGGGCGCAUUUGUAUUAGAAACAGCUUAUUUUGCGUCAGAAGUGGUAGUGGGCUUAGCAUAUGAAUAAAGCAUAGAUUUGAGAUUUUAUAGUUUGUUAAGGUAUCCCAGUAUGUAGAUGAGAUUGCUGAAAAAUGGUUGCUGAGGAAAUGCUUAGUCAUCCCAUUAUGCCUACGUCAUUACGUAUGUUAAAGCAAGUGUUCUGAGCUUUAUUGAUUGUGUAAACAACUGAUUGCCAUUUGCUGCAUUUUCUCAAUAUAAAUUGAUUAAUUUCAUUGAAUUUAGAACAUCCGUCUUUGGAUUGUAGCUGAGAUAUCUUUUUCCUGUUACUUGUGAAGGAUGAUGUGAGAUCUAUUUUUUGAGUUUUAUUAGUAGAUUAUCUUUUGGAAUGUCCAUUGUCGUGUGUAGUUAGAUACAGUAGAUUUUAAGGCUCACCAUCGUGGACUUCAGGAUUGAUAUUGAAAUUCCUAAAUCAGUGUAAUUAGUUUGCAGAGAAGCCCUGUAAACAAAUGUUUGAUAAGUCAAAGGAAAUGUGUUCAUCAAAUCAUGUGUCUUGAGCUGCCAAACCAUAUUAGAUCGUGUUGUUUCUCAUUGUCAAAAGUGGAGCAAAGAUGAUCUUGAAGGCAUUAUGUGCUAGGAUAAAGUUCUCUAAGGGUGAUCUAGUAAUCAUUAAUUCGGGAUUAUACCUGGCUUUAUCCAGAGUUAUCAAUUUUCAAAUUGGAUAAUGUUCAUGCUACAGAAUCAAUACACAAAGAUAACUGUAGGGAUUUUGAUAGAAAGGUAGCCUUACAAUGAUAAUAACAAAGAUAACUGCAGGAGUAACAAAGAAGCUAAUGUUCAUGCCAGAAGUCCCCGAGGCCUUAUUGAUAGAUAGAAGGCAACCUUACAUUCAUGGAAAUCUUAUUGAUUGCAGAUCAACUAACUAAACUUUGAUUCUAGGAUGCAGGUUAAGCUAAUGAGGAGAUGAAUUUAAUGGCGACGAGUACAGCAUUUUCUGCUGCCAGCGAUCCAAAAAUUGAAGCUUCAUUGGACCAGGAAAAGCCUCCACCAGCCUGAUCAGAGAGAAGCCUGAAGGCUAUGAAAGGGACCUAUUGCUGAAGGCAUACAAGUGCUGCAGCUGCACUCUCCAUGUCAAUUGGAGUAACACCAAACUUGGAUCUCAGGAACUCUGUAAGCUGCAUGAUCCACAAAUGUGUUGGCACUGCACCAAACUUGUAGUGUUAAUGCACUGUGGUAGCUUCAUGCCCUGAUAUUGUUCAUCAUGUCAAUUUUGGAACACAAUUAUUGCCGAGAAAUAUUGCAACUAUGAAGAACUAGUAUUUUGUGUUAUCAGCUGAAAUGAAAAGUCAGCACUCGUGAAUCUAGCAUAUGAACAUGGAUGCAUCAGCUCUAAUUUCUUGGAGAGUUCAUAGUAAUGCUUGUCAACAGAAACCCAGAAAGCAUGCUGUCUAGUUUCUGGAACUCCAUUGACUGGAAAUGUCUCUUCUGGCUGGUACCAGACACUGGUCAAGGUAUUCCCAGAGGAUUUCUCUUUACUGCUUACACUAUAAUCAGAGAAGUUGAGAUACCCAAUUUUUCUUGUGUAAUCACCAUUAGACUCCAAUGAUAAUUCAUCAUCAUCAGGCCCAUCUCUAUCUCUUGUUUAGGUUCAGAAGACAUGUUAAGUUUUCAGGACAUUUGUAUACCAUUUUAAUGAACAGUUGUUUACUAUAAAAUGUGUGUGAGAGAGAGAGGCUGAUUAUUGCUCUCAAAGUAAGCAAGAAUAGUCAAGUAAUCACAUUAUUAUUACUAUUAUUAUUUUUAAAAAAAAUAAGUGGUGAUGUUGAGAUGUCAACAUCAAUUAAGUUGGUCAAUAUCUUCUAAUCACAUUAAUUAUUUUUAUAGAAUAAAUAUAUUUGUUCACUUGUAGUCCCAAUUAUUGGAUCCUCUGCAGUCAUGAACUCUAAAUGUUGUGAAGAAUGCUUGGGGUUCAUGUCAACUUCUAGCUUCAAAACUAAUAACUUAUUUUGUAAUGACAUUUUAAAUAUAAUUCACCACUUCAAUUAGAUUCUCCAAGACAAUUUCUUUAGAUUGGUUUAAUAGCAUCUUUGUUUAUAAAUUCUAUAUACAUACUUCUAAUCAUUGCAUGUUCAUAGCAAGGGAUCAACUUCAUUUGGUGGUGACAAUUUCUCACCUACACAUUGUUGAGGUAUCAACUUGGUCAUCUGCCUAAAUGUACAUUUUCACACUAGUGCUAAAAGUAUGCUACUUGAGUUUUAUCCAAAUUCUGUAUAUAAAAGAAUAAGGUUAUAUUUUGCAUUCUUAUGGUCAACUUAGCUUUGCAAUUUGCUUACAGCAGGCAUAUAUGGCUUCUAAUCUAUUUUAUAGCUGUAAGAAGAUUUGGAUUCUUCUGUUGUCUUCUUCUUUAGUUUCUUGUUAAUCCUUUAAUUAGGACUUGAUGUGGGUAUAAUCUAGAUUAGAGAUUACUUGUCUCCUCUCCAUCCUGCCCUAUCUUGUGUAUCCACUGUCCUAUCAUUAUUCUGUAUUUGGAAGUAGUUUAUUGGGCAUUUAGAUGGAACCAUUAUCAAAAGGGUAUUGAUGAUCCUCAGGUUGGUGAUGCAUGCGACAUCUUGUAGAUGAUCUGUUUUUAGCAUUUAGUAAUACAGGAAUUCUGAGUAGAAAUAAUAGUUUUGAGGUUGACUCAACAUGUAGAAUCCUUCAUUUAGUCUAUAAAUAAAGCAGUGUGAUAUAUAUAAGUGCUGUUGGUCAGAGAUAAUAUAAUUGAUAUUUCUCACUGAAAUGGUUUGUGGAAUUGCCAGUGCAGCUUCUUGAUACUAUAAUCAUAUGCUUGUUAAGUCAAUGUACUUCCAUAUGUCACAAUAAGAUUAAAAAUGAUCCUUAGGAUCUCACCUUGUGUUUGCCUAACAAGUACCAUGAGAUUAUGGAAUUUGUUUGUCUCCUAAUCACAAAAAAGAAUUCUGUAGGAUCAUCUUUGGCAACUCAAACCUGUGAAGCUUGAUUUUAUGUGCAUUCAUGGGCUCAAAGUUGUGAUCAUCUUUGACACAUGGUCCUUCUAUUGCUGAAUAUGAUGAGCUUUUCUAGUAAAGAAAGAGAAAUUUAGGUAUAUUACAUCAAGAUAUUCACAAAAAUCAAGUCAAGCAAUGCAAUAAUAUAUUACCUUUGGGACAGCUCACUUUAGAAAAAAAAAAAAAGUCCUUAACAAUUGUCCUUACAUGUCCCUCCCUCUCUCCUCCUCCUCUCUCUUUAUCUAUCUAUCUCUCUCUCUCUCUCUCUCUAUAUAUAUAUAUGUGUAUACUUCUGUUGUUUGAUAGGGUGGUGUUGAGUGAUGAAGUGAUGGAAAGCAGAAACUACACACAGAAGCUGGUCUUAGGAAGUGAGAGAUAUGGGUCCUGUAGGAGGAGAAAGAAGAACUCAGACAAGCCAAAGCAUCCUCAAAGAGGCCCUGGUGUGGCUCAAUUAGAGAAGAUCAUAUUACAGAAUCAAAUGAUAGCAAUAGCAACCUGCCUCUCUCAAUUUGACUGUGAUCUCCACAAGGUAUUUCUUGGUGACAAUUAUCUCUACUUUUCUCUGUCCAAUUCUUAGUUCCUUGAUGCUUGUGUUCAAGCAGCAUAUUGCUAGAGUACAGAUGCGAUAUGCAUCAUCUCCCUCUUCAACUACUACUGCCUCAUCAUCAUCAUCAUCAUCAUCACUGUUUGAGCUUCACCAGAGUAUCAUGGUAUGUCAAGCUUCACUCAACAUGCUACAUCAACAGGAGUAAAAUAAGAGCUGUAGUUCCCCAGUUUUAAUUUUUUUGAGCUUUAUGGAGCUUCAGAUAGAGGCUUUGGAGACACAGCAGAAAUGGACAUCAAACAAAGUGCAUUCAGUUCUGGUGCCACAGCAAGAUGCAAUUGGUGUUCCUCUUCUCAUCAAGCAGUGCAACCUACUGCAGCACUGCCUCCCUUAGAACAAAGCAUGCAGAAGGUAUUGCCUAAAUAUCUAGCUGACCUCAUUGUUAUCUUGCUACUUUAAGAUCUUCCAUAACACAAAGGACUGGAUCAAUGCAGAUGAUCAGACUUCACGAGGACCAGGCCUUGCAAGAACUCGACUUGGAGCUUAGAUUGUGACUGUGAGAGGUUCUGGGUGGUUCGGUGUUUGAAUAAAUUGUUUCUCUCAGGAAAAAAGAUUGGAAUAGGAUGUUUCAUAGAUGUCAAAGAUACAAAUGGUUGAUUGUAACCUGCAGAAACUGCAUCUUGAGUUGAACCAUUGUGAAAUAUAAGCAGUUAAAGACCGCACACAUCAGAAACACUAUCACUUGAAAGCUCAAAACUUUGUCAAAUCUUAUUCAUUCCAAACUAGUCACAUAGCUACAGAUAAAUGUUAAUUGAUACAGACCGACGGUAUAGCAAGAGAUGCCCAUAACCAUAGGCUUAUUUCUAACAAAUAUAAUUCAAAGUUCUGAACAAGCUUUAUAACAUAAUAUUGGAAGCGCCACAUUACCCAUAGGGGUGUUUAGAAAGCAGUACUAGCUGCAAGCUACUUGUGCAUUUAUCUAUACUUCAUUGCUGCAGUUUGCGACCUCCUAUUGCUCGAUCAUUGCAUCCAUACGUGUCCUCCAUCUUUGCAAACCUUCCAUGUAUACGAGGCUGACUCUCUGCUAAAGCCUUUCUGCAAGCAUACUGCAAAAUGAUGGAUAUUGCCACCGUGUGGAGUUAAAACACAGAGAGGAGUUUGUAUUAGAAUGAGAAACAGCUCAACUUAAAACAAACAAGCAAGAAAUUUACGAGGUUGUUUGGUGUGGAUAAUAAGAUGUUGUUCGACAAGCCGAGCAGAUGGAGUAAACCCAAAACAUCUUGAAAUUGUCAUUAGCAUAUGUUUGUUUACACAUGAUCCAAUUAGCAGAACGAGAUCAUGUCUCAGAUAGACAACUUUUUGUGGAAAAUCGAAUGUCAGAAUCUACAGUUUAGCUUGAGAAUAAUUGUCUAAUUUCCAUUAGCAGAAUAAUUGAUCCUUAUAGCUCAUAACAAGAUCAUGAAAAGAAAAUUCAAGAGGACAUCUAAGUUGAUUUCUGAUCAUCAACAUUGCCGAUCUAUCCUUUUUUGUCUAAAUGUAUGCCUCUAAAGGAACUUUACUGUUCUCCGUGCCAGUUUUGUAAUCACAGGAGCAAUUGGGGCUGAAGUGCUUAACCGAUGAAAUCAAAUGAGGAAAGAAACCAAGUUUUGCACAAUCUUGUUGCAGAAUAACAUUCAUGCUCUUAUCUCAUCAGUCGUAUUACCAUAUAAAGCUUUUUCAAUGAUAGGCUUCGUGCAGUAGAUAUGUAUGUGCACAUUGUUUCUAUACACAUGCUAUUCCUUGACAUUUUGAGAUCAAGAAAAGAGGUUUACCUUGAUCUUUCUUCCAUAGUUUCUUUUUGUCCUCUUCUUCCUGUACCUGGAAAGCUUUAUCCUUCUUUCUUUGAUCUUGUCCUCAAUCUUGAUAUCCUCAAAGCUUGCUAAAACCUUAAAAGCAGGAAUUAUGUUCAUGUUACCAUGAACUGAGUUAUUGUUUCCAAGAAUCUGCCACAAGAAACUCAAAGUCAAUGGCCUGCAAUAAUCUGUGAAAAUUUCCAGAAAGACCUAAUCAUACCUUCAAGAAACAUUAUAUCAAGAGUAAGCAAUAAGCAACUGUCGUCAUUUAGGUAAUGCAGUGAUGAUAUCACAACAUGUUCAAAUUGAUGAUGCUUCCUACUCGAUUUAUAAGAGCUACCAAUACUUUGUGAUGAAUGAUUCUUUCAGAGUCACAUAUGAUUGACACUGUCAGUAAAGCAAAAUAAUUCAGGAAUGCUUUCUUCUGGUGCAAUUGUAUUGAUCCACAAGCCAGCCAGAUAAUAGAUGAUUACUUGAAAAUGCAAGUCAUAUAGACAUGGACUUAUUAAUCUGACCUGGAUAUCUCCUUCGCUGUAUGCCCUCCUCAUCUGAAAUGCAACCUCAAGAUUCAUAUCAGAAACACCAAGAAAACAUGGCUCGACACUGAGAACCUUAGAGUAGUCCACUGAGCCUAGACAUCCAAAACUGCCACUCUUCUGUAAUGAUCCCUCUGCAAAGGAAUUAUCUUUUGCUCCAGCCGUAUCUUCUUCAGUCUGCACUGCAGCAACUGUGCCAGGAGAAGGUACAAUUGUAGUUGACUUUGUAAGAAUAUCUCUUUUGCAGUCAAAGAAGACCUCACACGAUAGAUCUUCAUCUUGGAUCAACUCUGCAUCUGUGGUUUUCAUUGUUUCUUCUGUUAUAGUACUUCCAUAACCAGGCAUCACUGACAUGGUAGCGGUUAUGGGAUCUAAUGAUUCUUCUAAUAUGGGCUUUGGAGCUUCAAACAGAUCCCCGUCUCCUCCCAGGUCAUAAUCAGUAAAGGAAAUCUGAACCAGGUUACCCUGUAGAAAUCACAUAACAAAAUUUCACAGGAAGUCUUAAAAGUUCAGGAGCCUCUGAAUCCUCUUUGACUUUCUUUUCUUUAUUUUCUAAAGAGAGGAGGAGGGAGGAGGGGAUUAUAAAAUCUGUUAUCCCAUAUUUCAGAGACAAAAUGAUCAAGCUUAACUUUUCAGGGUUUUGAGGAUCAUAAGAUGACUAGAAUAGAAAAUUUUAGGGACUAAAAUGUUACUGAUACAAAGUGUAAAGAAAUACUAAAGAGCUGCUAGGGAAACCAUCAGAAACAUAAGGAGUUCUAGAUGUAUUUUCUUGUACUGUAAAUAAAUGAUCGCAUUGCUAAGCUGAUAAGCAUUGUUCUUAAUGCUGGAUCCGAUGAAUUGUGCAAGGCAAAAUAUCAAAUGAAAGAAUGGUGUAUUCAGUUGUGUUAUUCAUUUGUAUUACAGAAUCAUUUACUUCUAGAUAUACACCUAUUAAUACUCUAUUCACCUUCCGAACAGAAAUGCAUAAACUUGAUUUCUCAAUUGACAAAAUCUACCGUGUUUUUAAGAUUUAUUUAAUUAGAACUGCUGAGUAAUAGCUUGUGUAGAACCAAGUUUAAAGAAACUAUGUAGAAAUUUUGCCACAUAACUAUGUAGGAGGACUAUGUUAAUUAUGAAAUGCACCCGAUCUGACGGUAUCACCUAAAACUUAACCACGACACAAGUAUGAAAAAACUCGUGUUCAUGAGAAAGGGAUGUAUGAAAUGAAGCAUGAAGCGUAUGUGUUUCCGUCAAAAUCCAUAUUAAUUAUGUUCUUUGAUAAUGGGUUAAUGCUGUAUAAAACACCCUCCCGAAAAGCAUUCUAGUGUCGUAAAGCAUUGGCAGGCCUUGAGAGUAAAUCAUGCUUGAAAAUUCAUUUAAUGAAGGCAGAAACUUAUGUUCAAGGACACAAGAAACGAUAUCGCAAAAAACUGUAUUAAUGCGCAAUAUACGAUAAGAUAAUAAUACAUGAUGAGUGUCUGCAGUAUUACACAAGGAUGCACAUUUUUAUACAAGAAAACAUAGCAGCUAGUAACAACUUACUUGAAUGGCUGUCUCUAUGCAGAUCUACUAGAUUAAUCUGAGCAGGAAGCAUGAAUAGAUUAAAAAGAAAGAAAAAAAAAAGAGACUUGAUUGCAGUGACAAAUUAAUGGAUAAAGUUGAAUACAAGUAUUUGCUGUUAUGUAAAAAUUCUGACUUCCUAUCUGAAAUAAUCAACAAGAAGAAAUAAGGUGGAGCAAAGAAGCAAUGGUCAGGAAGUUGUGUUGCUUCGAAUAGCAUAUAGAGUCAUCAACUUAAUCUCAAAGAAAUAGGGCAAAAAGAUGGGUUAACAGCAAUCUUAAGAAAAGAAAAAGUUAAAGAAAGAGGGACCAGAAAACAAAUAAAAGCAUUAAUAUUUCUGCGUCUAUCAAGCAUCACAUAGAAAUGAGGUCUAUGAGAAUCCAUAGCAAAACAGAGAUCAGUGGGCAUUCAUUCUAGUUCAUGAUCGACGGAUGUGAGUGGCCAGAAAGUAACAAGAUUCCCAAGACAUAUAAUAAUACCCUAGGGAUUUGAGGAACUAAUAAUAGUCUGAUUUCUCAAGAUUAUCAAGUAAGAAGAAGAAAAUUAGGACAGAAAAAAUACAGGAGAAAGACUCACUGCGCAGAUUAGUAAAGAUCAUAGGUGAUAUCUCCCGCAAGAAAUCAGUCAUAUGAAAUCUAAGCAGAAAAUAAGACUUUUUGUUACUGAAGGACUGGGCGGAAGAUAGAAAGAAAGAAUCAUGAAGCAAUCCAUACCAAGGUGGGAGCAGCACCAGGAAAGACCGUGGAGACCAAGUCUUCAUGAAAUGUAAACGGAAGAAGAUGUUGAUCAGCUCCUGAUACUACUUGUGGAAAGCCCUGCAUGCAGGGCAACAGCAGCCCGGUCUCUGCAUACAUCUUUCCUGCUCCUCUUCUUGGUUGGAACUCAAGAACUUGCAGGUAGGAACUACAAGAGGCAAUAAAUAGGAAAGGAACAGACAAAAUCAUGCAUGUAGCAGCCACAUCCCAGAAUUCAUCUUAGCUCUUUCUCCUUAACUGGACACUUAGGACAUACUCAGAAAUCUUAUAUAAAUCUUUUACCCCUACAAGAUCUAAAACAUGUCCUGCAUCAUGAGCUCUGUGGGAUAUGUCACAUGUCUCAGGUUACAAGGAUAAAGGAGUAAUUGCAUGCCUUUGAGGAACAUAUGUGUCCCUUUUGGAGGUUCAAGGAAUGACUACAGAGGGCACAACAACAAGGCCUCACUCAGAUUCAGGUGAUGAUAGAUUCAAAGAAGAUGAUCAACAUGACCUGUGCAAAGACAUUUACCAUCUUGCCAAAGCUGUGAAGAACUCCAAACAGGGUUUCAUUCCGUAAGGACUUAAUAGGACUGCACAGCCUUGGCAAAUAUGCUAGAGAGAAUGUAACUACAGAACUCUGGUCCUCCCUCCCUCUGGAAAAAGUCUUUUUAACUAAUCUGUGUUCCUGGUAAGAACCUCUAAUGAGCCUACAGAAAUCCAAAGCAUAAACUGCAGAGGACAGGAUCAUAAGAAUAAUUUAAAGUUGGGUGUAGCACGGAAAGCAGAGGUCCUAACUACAGGAUAGAGAUGGUGCAAGUAGAGCAAACAUCUCUUGAAUGGAUGUUACAGGAAAAAGUUGUUGGGAAUCUUUUCCACUGGCAUAUGAUCAGCUAAGGAACAACCUUUGCUGGUACCAUGUAUGUCCCUUGGGAGUCAGUGCAAUCAGCUUGUCCAAUCUGCCGCAGCUUAUCAAGAAUCCACAAAUGGUUGAUCAAAACAAGAUAGAAAGCACUGCCACCCACAAGUAGCUUGGAACUUUGUAGAUGGAGCUCCUAUUCAUCAAAGAGAAAGAUCUAGUAGCCUGGUAGGUAGGUUGCAGUACCAAAAGGAUCUUUUGCAUGUGUAGCUACAGAGGUAUCCAUUUGCAUACUAUUGGUUGCAGGAAGAUAAGAUGAGUUUUCUACCUUUAAUCUGUAGCAUCCUUGGAGAGAUUCUUCAGUGAGGAUAUUUAGGAACAAAUCAGUGAGACGAAAAUUCUAUUUUCUCUGUAGAAUCUAAUUUCAUUCAUAUUAAAAUGUAGAGAAAAGAAAAAAUGUAGGGAAUGAUCCUCCAACAAAAUUCCCCAGGUCAAAGAGUUCAGAGGAAAGUGAUGAUCUCUGAGAGAAAUAGCAUCAAAAAACUAUAGAAAGAGGGCACAUGGCAGAACUACUAAAUUAGUGACAAGAAAUGUCAAAAAGAAUGACAAUACAGAAGGUUGAGUCACACUUUUCCCACUUCAGUAAAUGUCUCAGAUUUGGCUUUUCUUGCUUCCCCAUCAACAUGAACAGAGCCGGCAAUGUGAUCACUCACAGUCACAGCCAAUAGAAUAAACGUCAGGAGCUACGUAAGUUCAGCAAUCAAUGACUCCACCAAACUAAAACAACUAGAUUUGACUUAUUUUGACAUCCAAAAUGGACCAUAUUUGUCAACUUGCUUGACAUCUAGAACAAGAACUAAUCUACAAUAAUCUGUUCAUGAUGUGACAGCACUUCAUUUAUGGUUGGCACGAAGCCAGUGAGAGCACAAAAAAGAUCAACUGCAUUGAUGGCCAUUAAUUGUCCACAACUGUUAAUAAUCUUCAGAAAAUGGCUGUGUUCAGUGUUCAGCUGAUGCGGGGAUUGUCAUGUUGGUUUGAUGAAGAGCAUGCAACCAAACUUAUCCAUGAAAUAAUGCAGCUGAAAGACCAAAGACUUCCUGCUCAUCAUCAUCAACUUAAUAGUCCAUAGAUUGUUCUGCUUGGUGGUGGUCACUCAGGUCAUCUCAGAAGCUUAAAUUGGAUCCAAGCUUGACAAUUUGCAAUCUGUAUGUUCAUUUUUGAUGAGAAAUAUCUCCCCUUGUCAAGUCUUGAUGAUGAGUUGUGCAUACUUUGCUGCUCUUUUUGCUCCCACCAUCACUAUCCUCACAUUUGGCUUGUCCAAAUGGGUGAAGCUCACCUGUCGGAGAUAAGGCAGUGUCUGUAUGCUAUAGAAAAAUGAAAGUGAAUUCAUACAAGAAAGAGAACUGAUGGAUGAACUUGUUUUCGUGUCUGUUGACACAGAGAGCUAUUCUUCCUCAUGCUUCAGUCAGUAUGCAUACCUUUUCUCAUGGUUGAAGAAGAUGAUGAUAAUAUCAAGCUCACAUGAGACUCACUUUUUCUUAGAUACUGAAGAGAUGCUCGUGUCUAGAGAAACCAGCUUUCAUCUUUUCUCUGACAUUUGCAGGUACUGCAUGGACCAGAAAAUUACUGCAAAUAACAGAAAGUAUUCCUCCAAAUUAACUUCCCCAGAAAUAUUACAUCCGACCUGAAGAAACCAAGGCUAGUGGUCAUCACGUUGUUCACACAAGUGGUGGAUCCAUCGAUGCCCGUGAUUCUUAUCCCAACUCUCAUUUCUUCUCAGAAGAAGCUGCAAGAUAGAAAUGAUUAGACCUUUUUGGGGAUCAAACGUCCAAGCUCAUCCGUCUGGCAGCUUCCAAAGUGUCUUGAAUGUGGAUCUGUGCUUGAUGUUUCCCUGUCAAGUCUUGAUCUGUUCUCAGACACCGGAGGAUGAGUGUUGCAGAUGAGCAAGGAUCUCAUGCUGUUCAUUCUCGUCACUUCUCAGUGCAAUUAUUCCAUGGGGUCUCUCUCCACAGUGGCUUUUCCGAUUCAGUAGUGAGCUGCAGCAUCACCUGGAAAUGGAAAACUCCUGCAAUGUUUUGAAGAAGUAUUAUAUAUUGGAGUUUUCUCCAUGUCAUGAUCAGAAACUUGCUCUCAAGUUUCACCGACUGUAAACACUUACAGAAAUGACUCAAUCAUGUCACCCAAACCCUAAACUUCUACCUUUUUGUUGAAGCAGUUGCUGCUGUGUAAUUGUGUUAGUAUAUUCCACAAAGACAAAUGACAAACGAAAUGAUCAUGAUCUCAAAUCCAUGCCUGACACAGGACCAAUGAAGCCAAAGAUGUCAAUGCCAGAAUCCCAUCAGCUUUUGGUUUGUGGUGAUACCACUCUUC